rnacentral:lncRNA from 1 species
AAAUAUCGAAAAAAACAAGAGUAAAAUACUAAAACAAAACAACUAAAGAAGGGAGCGAGACCUACACACACAGCCUACAACAAUACAAAUACAAACCCCACAACCUCUCUCUUCUGUUCUCCUCUUCUUCUUCGCUUCGAGUUUGGGGUUUCGCUUCUCUCUCUUCAAAUCUCUCGCCCUUUUUCUCCUCUCUGCUCCGUACGGCCUUUCGGCCUUUGGCCUUCGGAUGUGUAUGCAUCCGUCGCCUCCGUCUCUCUCUCUCCUCUCUCAGGUACUCCUCUGCCCUCUUUCUCUCUCUAUAUCUAUCGGUGUGUGUAUACCUGAUCUACUUUUUCAAUCAAAAAUUGAAAUUUAUGGUUUCUUUUCUUUUAGAGGUUCAUGGUUUAGUCUAAUCUCCGAUUUCGUUUCUGUUUGCUUUUGAUUAUUUUUUUGUUUUCGUGGGUUUCAUAUGUUUUCUUUUUCUGUGUUUGGGUUUUGGGGGUUUGGAGUAGUUUAAAGUAGAGAAGCUGAGGUGAAAAUAUGACAACCCUAAGAUCAAACUUGCCAUCGAGGAUUCGUCAACUUCUGUCUGCCGACGGUGCUCUCGGGCCGUCCAUCAAACUCGACUCUGAGCCUGUGAGUUUCUCUCUCACUCUUCUCUUAGUUUAGUUUACUUUAAUUUUACAUUGAGUGUGUUGUGUUUUAUUGUGCAAAGUUUUGAAUUUUGUGCUUUAAAGAUUAGGGUUUUAUCUCAAUCAUCAAGGUUACUGAUUGGAGAUAGCCCAUCAGGGUUGUCUUGACCGCUUUUCGAUCCAAACGCUUAGAUUUAAUUAAGUUGAGGUUGUUUUGGGCCUGAAAGAUAUGUGAUUUUCAUCCUUAGAAUUGGUUUUGUCCUUAAUUUUCGUUAGGGUUAUUCUUAAGAAUUAUUUGGUUGUUUGGCUGCUGGUGCACAAGUGAACUUUCAAUGCUUAAAAUUUCUUACAUAGGUAACCCACUGAGUUACUGCUUAUUUUAUACUUCCUCUAAUAGAGGGAUUGCUUUAUUAUUGUUAGUAGUACUGCUUUUAUUUUAUAGUAUGCGGUGAGACUAUUAGUGAACUUUCAAUGCUUAAAAUUUCUUACAUAGGUAACCCACUGAGUUACUGCUUAUUUUAUACUUCCUCUAAUAGAGGGAUUGAUUUAUUAUUGUUAGUAGUACUGUUUUUAUUUUAUAGUAUGCGGCGAGACUAUUAGUUUUAAUUUGGUGUUCUUUUUUUCUUAUAAAUUUUUUGCUGUUGAGAUUCUAUGACUAAUGACCAGCAGCGUAUUCUUCAAUUUUUCUUUUUCAAUGUAGACUUUCUGAUUUUGUCAGUUUUGUUAUACCUUUUUGGGGUCCAGGAAGCAUGGAUACAUAGUGUGCGAUAUGAAUAUAGUAUGCUAUUGGGUAUCCUGGUACAACAAUAUUUGAAAAUACAACACUGAAUGCUUGGGAUACACUAGCAAUUGAAGUUAAUAAUGUACAGUAGCAUUCAUUUUUUUCUGAAUCAUGAAAUAUUCUGUGGUUAUAUGAUGCAAUAAUAAGAAGAUUAUUUUAUCUAUAUGAUAGUUAGAGCAUAUUCUGAAAUUAUUUGGAUUUACUUUUAUGCCUGGGUACUAUACAAAAGCAAUUACGUCGUAGCCCAAGUGGUAUAUUCUAUAGUCAGUAUUGGAUACAUGUUGGGUGUUGAAGAACAGUGUGUUUGAUCUAUAUCUGGUUUGAAUAUGGCACCAGAAUUAUAUGUGCUACACAUUUUUUGUUGUAAUGUUGCCCAGUUGCUCCCUGUUCCCUUAUGUUCUGUAUACUUUACCUACAUUUAUCUUUAUGUAUAUGUACAAAUAAUGUAAGGAGAGUAUUAACAUAAGUUUUGAAAUAAAGAAAUUUGUUCCUGUCUAUUGUUUUAAGAUGCACCGCAAGUUUCUAGUGGUAUCAUUUCUAGGCUGAGUUAGUUGAAAAUGCAGUGUCUUUGUAUGGCUUUACUGAUAAGUGAAACUGUAGAAUGAGUUUAGAUGAACAACCAUUUUUGCCCGAACAUGUGAAGCUCCAAAUAGUGCGGUUGAUAAAUAAAUUAGAAAGCUGGGGCACUCCAGGGUGGCUUAACAUUCAUUUAUUUUAUGGUCAACUUUUGUUAAUCGGUUUACUCACCCAGAUAUCUACUGUGGGAUGCUGGAAAUCACGCAUGAUUUAUAUACUUAAUCUGAUCAAUUUCAGUAGAAUCAUUGGGUUCAUACCAUUGCCUAAAUGCAGCAGUCCAAAGUGUGAAAAUAUGUUAUUGGAAGGAAGGUUCUUGUCUCUAAUUUUUCAUAGCCGUAUGCCUUAAGCAACAUAACUUUUCGUGUGGAGCAAAGCAAUAUCUACUCUGAACAAUGCCCAUCAUGAAGAAAAGCCUCCGUUUAGCUGUUAAUUUGAUUGAUGAGAAAUAAGGUUUUUUUUAAUAAAAUAUUUAUUUAAAUUUAAAAUUUGAAUGUGGGUGUUAAAUUAUUUUUUAAUAGUACUUUUGGUGGUUUUCCUAUAUCUAUAAGUUUAAUGCUUUCCUUACUGUUUUUUCAUUGAUCUUUUCUGUUUUUCCAUAUUUGUUUGCGUGGUGUGCUUAAUUGGGCCUCCUUUAAGCUCAUAACUGGAUUUUGUCUCUGGGAUAAGAUUUCACUGAUGCCAAUUUUCAAAUUUGAGUGCGUUUGUGGUUAAAUUUAUCUCUAAGUAAUGUUUCAGAGUUAAAUAUCUGCUUUUUUAGGGUUGUGAAAUUUUGCAUGCGGAGGGAGAUAUUUCUUCUCCUUUGUUGAGGAUUAUCAUUUUAUGUUAUACAUAGCUUAGUUUCUCAACUACAUUUUCUUCCUUCCUGACUAUUUAAUGGUGGGACACUUUUUUGACCGUAUUUUUGUUGGUUUCAGCCUCCUAAGAUCAAAGCCUUUAUCAAUAAAGGUGAUACAGUGUCCAUUACAAGAUAUAGCAAUACCUCUUUCCCGGUUUCCGUUGGGAGUACAGUAAGGUGGUAGCUUCCCACUUUUCUGUGUAAAAUUUGUUAUUCUUUUUAUCCUGUCACUAAUACGGUGCUUUGAUUUCAGGGUAAUUUUCACCAUUGGAGGCCGCUUUUUCUGCAUUUUGAUACAUAUUUCAAGACAUACUUGUCUUGUAGAAAUGACCUACUCUUGUCCGAUAAAAUCUUAGAAGAUGAUAGUCCAUUUCCAAAGCAUGCAGUACUACAAAUUUUGAGAGUGAUGCAAACAAUUUUAGAAAAUUGCCAUAACAAGAGUUCAUUUGAUGGCUUAGAGGUAUGUUGUUCUUGGAGCAAGGAAUUUGUGUUUGUAUCUCAGCCUAUUGUGAAACUAUAUCUAUGCUUUUGCUUUUUUAGUCUGAAUUAGCUGCCGGUGCUAUUAUUUUGUGCGUGUGUCUUUUUAAUGUAGCAAUAUUUUCUCUCCUUUUCAGCAUUUCAAGCUCCUACUUGCAUCAACAGAUCCUGAGGUUCUUAUAGCUGCAUUGGAAACACUUUCUGCACUAGUGAAAAUAAACCCCUCCAAGCUGCACGCUAGUGGGAAGAUGAUUGGUUGCGGUUCUGUAAACACAUAUCUCCUGUCUUUGGCACAGGGCUGGGGAAGCAAGGAAGAGGGAUUGGGUUUAUAUUCAUGCGUCAUUGCAAACGAGACUACCCAAGAUGACGGGCUGAAUUUGUUCCCAUCUGAUGUAGAAAAUGAUUCUGACAAGUCUCAGUGUCGAAUGGGUUCUACACUCUAUUUUGAAGUGCAUGGGAAUGCCCAAAGUACAGUGGAAAGCUCCAGCAAUGUAAAUAAUUCUACCAGUUUGGGGGUUAUACAUAUGCCAGAUCUGCAUUUGCAGAAGGAGGAUGAUUUGAAGAUGAUGGAACGAUGUAUAGAGGAGUACAGGGUACCUUCUGAGCUCCGGUUCUCACUGCUGACGAGAAUCAGAUAUGCUCGUGCCUUCCGUUCUCCGAGAAUAUGUAGGCUGUACAGCAGGAUUUGCCUUCUUGCAUUUAUUGUGCUCGUUCAGUCUAGUGAUGCUCAUGAAGAACUUGUUUCCUUCUUUGCUAAUGAGCCAGAGUAUACUAAUGAACUAAUCAGAAUUGUCCGGUCUGAAGAAUCAGUUUCUGGAACCAUCAGAACCCAAGCAAUGCUUGCCUUGGGAGCUCAGCUAGCUGCAUAUUCAGCAUCUCAUGAGCGGGCACGAAUCUUGAGUGCAUCCAGUAUCAGUUUUGCGGGGGGCAAUCGUAUGAUACUCCUGAAUGUGCUCCAGAGAGCUGUUUUAUCACUUAAAAACUCCAACGAUCCAACUUCUCUUGCUUUUGUUGAAGCCCUUCUUCAGUUCUAUUUGCUCCAUGUGGUUUCAUCAUCAACUACGGGGAGUAAUGUUAGAGGGUCAGGCAUGGUUCCAACAUUCUUGCCUCUUUUGGAGGAUUCUGAUCCUUCGCACUUGCAUCUAGUCUGUUUUGCUGUCAAAACUCUACAAAAGCUUAUGGAUUACAGUAGUUCUGCCGUGUCUCUUUUUAAAGAGUUGGGGGGAGUUGAACUUUUGGCUCAGAGACUACAGAUAGAGGUACACCGGGUUAUUGGUUUGGCUGGCGAUAAUGAUAAUUCAAUGGUCAUUGGCGAAAGCUCAAGAUACAGUGAUGACCAGUUGUACUCACAGAAGAGGCUCAUUAAAGCUUCGUUGAAGGCACUUGGGUCUGCUACGUAUGCUGCUGGGAAUUCCACCAGAGCGCAACACUCCCAUGACAGUUCUUUACCUGCAACUCUUUCUCUGAUAUUUGCAAAUGUAGAAAAAUUUGGUGGUGACAUUUAUUACUCUGCUGUGACUGUUUUGAGUGAAACUAUCCACAAAGACCCAACUUGCUUUUCUGCUUUGCAUGAAAUGGGGCUUCCAGAUGCAUUUAUAUCUUCAGUUGUAGCAGGAGUUCAUCCAUCUGCGAAGGCUCUUACAUGUGUACCUAAUGGUCUUGGUGCUAUUUGUCUUAAUGCCAAAGGCUUGGAGGCUGUGAAGGAAAGGUCAGCAUUACGCUUUCUUGUUGACAUCUUCACCAGCAAGAAAUAUGUUGUGGCAAUGAAUGAAGCUAUUGUUCCUUUAGCAAAUGCAGUGGAAGAGCUUUUGCGCCAUGUAUCAUCGCUAAGAAGUACUGGUGUUGAUAUUAUCGUUGAAAUCAUUGAUAAAAUUGCUUCCUUCACUGAUAGCCACAGCACAGGGGCAGCCGGAAAGGCAAAUGGGAGUACUGCUAUGGAAAUGGAUUCUGAAGACAAAGAAAAUGAAGGUCAUUGCUGUUUGGUCAGUUCUGCUGAUUCAGCUGCAGAUGGGAUCAGUGAUGAGCAGUUCAUUCAAUUAUCCAUCUUUCAUUUGAUGGUACUAGUCCACAGAACAAUGGAGAAUUCCGAAACAUGUCGGUUGUUUGUUGAGAAGUCAGGAAUUGAUGCUUUGCUGAAGCUUCUAUUACAACCCACUAUUGUUCAAUCGUCUGAUGGGAUGUCGAUUGCUUUGCACAGUACCAUGGUUUUCAAGGGUUUUACUCAACAUCACUCUGCUGCACUUGCCCGUGCAUUCUGCUCCUCCCUCAGGGACCACCUAAAGAAAGCUUUGUCUGGAUUUGGGGCAGUUUCAGGGUCCUUUUUGUUGGAACCUAGGAUGGCCUUGGAUGGUGGAAUCUUUUCUUCUCUGUUUCUUGUUGAGUUCCUUUUAUUUAUUGCUGCCUCAAAGGACAAUCGCUGGGUAACGGCAUUGCUUACUGAAUUUGGAAAUGGUAGCAAGGAUGUUGUUGAAGAUAUAGGGCGUGUCCAUCGUGAAGUUUUGUGGCAGAUUGCUCUUCUAGAAGAUACCAAGUCUGAGGUGGUGGAUGACAGUGCUGGUUCUACUACCAAUGAGUCACCACAGUCAGAAACAAAUACAAGUGAAACUGAAGAGCACAGGUUCAACUCUUUUAGGCAGUUCCUUGAUCCACUUCUCAGAAGAAGGACAUCUGGGUGGAGCAUUGAAUCCCAGUUUCUAGACCUUAUUAGCCUAUAUCGUGACCUCGGUCGUGCCAGUUCUCAACAAAGAACACAUUCUGAUGGUCCUUCGAAUCUUCGGAUUGGAUCCAGUCAGCAAUUCCAUCCUUCUGGGUCUUCAGAUGCUGUUGGUCCUCUUAAUAGAAAGGAGCAUGACCAGCAGAGGUCCUAUUAUACUUCUUGCUGUGAUAUGGUAAGAUCACUUUCUUUUCACAUUACCCAUCUGUUUCAGGAGCUGGGGAAGGUCAUGUCGCUACCAUCUCGUCGACGGGAUGAUGUUGUGAAUGUUUCCCCUUCUGCAAAAUCGGUGGCUUCUACUUUUGCGUCCAUUGCAUUCGAUCACUUGAACUUUGAAGGGCAUGCAAAUUCUUCUGGAUCUGAGGCUUCCAUAUCGACUAAAUGUCGGUACUUUGGUAAAGUUAUUGAUUUCAUUGAUGUCAGUCUACUGGAGAGACCAGAUUCAUGUAAUGCCGUUUUGCUAAAUUGCUUAUAUGGACAUGGAGUUGUCCAGUCAGUUUUGAAAACAUUUGAAGCUACAAGUCAAUUGCUCUUCACAGUUAGGGCUCCUGCAUCUCCCAUGGAAACGGAUGAUGGGAAUGCAAAGCAGGAUGAAAGGGAAGAUACUGACCAUUCAUGGAUUUAUGGUCCUUUAGCUAGCUAUGGAAAACUUAUGGACCACCUGGUAACGUCUUCUUUCAUAUUAUCUCCUUUUACAAAACACUUGCUAGCACAACCCCUGGCAAAUGGAAAUAUUCCUUUUCCGCGCGAUGCUGAGACUUUUGUAAAGGUCCUCCAAUCUAUGGUGCUGAAGGCAAUUCUUCCUCUCUGGACUCAUCCCCAGUUUGUUGAUUGUAGUUAUGAUUUUAUUAGUGCUGUUAUUUCUAUAAUCAGACACAUAUACUCUGGGGUUGAAGUGAAGAAUGUUAGUAGUAGCUCCAGUGCCCGUAUUACUGGCCCGCCUCCUAAUGAGACAACCAUUUCAACAAUUGUAGAGAUGGGCUUUUCCAGGUCUAGGGCAGAAGAAGCUCUGAGGCAAGUUGGAUCAAAUAGUGUGGAGUUAGCUAUGGAGUGGCUGUUUUCCCAUCCAGAGGAGAUUCAAGAAGACGAUGAACUGGCUCGUGCACUUGCCAUGUCUUUGGGUAAUCCUGAAUCAGACACUAAGGAAGCUGGUGCAAAUGACAAUGCUCCGCAGCUUGAAGAGGAGAUGGUCCAACUUCCUCCUGUUGAAGAGUUGUUAUCUACAUGCACAAAGCUUCUGCAGAUGAAGGAACCUCUAGCUUUUCCAGUUCGAGACCUACUUGUGAUGAUAUGCUCCCAAAAUGAUGGGCAAUAUCGGCCUAACAUCAUCUCGUUCAUUGUUGAUCGGAUAAAAGAAUCUAGUUUGAUUUUUGACAGUGGAAACAGUACCUUGCUAUCUGCUCUUUUUCAUGUUCUUGCUUUAAUUCUUCAAGAAGACGCAGUUGCACGAGAAAUUGCCUCAAAGAAUGGUCUUGUGAAAGUUGCAUCGGAUCUACUCUCCCAAUGGGAUUCUGGUUCAGUUGGUAGGGAGAAACGUGAAGUUCCAAGGUGGGUAACAACAGCUUUUCUUGCUAUCGACCGGCUGUUGCAGGUGGAUCAAAAACUGAAUUCUGAAAUUGCAGAGCAGUUGAAGAAGGAUGGUGUCAGUAGCCAGCAAACAUCACUUAGCAUUGAUGAGGAUAAGCAAAAUAAGUUGCAGUCUGCAUUGGGAGUAUCUUCAAAGCAUAUAGAAGUAAAAGAUCAGAAGAGGCUUAUUGAGAUUGCUUGUUCUUGUAUCAGGAACCAGCUUCCUUCCGAAACAAUGCAUGCUGUUCUGCAGCUUUGCUCUACUCUCACCAAAACUCAUGCUGUUGCGGUUCAUUUUCUUGAUGCUGGGGGUUUAAGUUUAUUGCUUUCCUUGCCGACAAGUAGCCUCUUUCCUGGGUUUGACAAUAUUGCUGCUACCAUUAUCCGCCAUGUUCUUGAAGAUCCUCAAACUCUUCAGCAGGCAAUGGAAUUUGAGAUAAGGCACAACCUUGUGGCUGCUGCCAACAGGCAUUCCAAUGGUAGGGUUUCUCCCCGCAAUUUUCUAUCAAGUCUAAGUUCUGCCAUUUCUCGGGAUCCUGUGAUAUUUAUGCGUGCUGCUCAGUCUAUUUGUCAAGUUGACAUGGUUGGUGAAAGGCCUUACAUUGUUUUGCUGAAAGAUCGUGACAAAGAUAAAAGCAAAGAAAAGGAAAAGGAGAAGGAUAAAUCUUUGGACAAAGAAAAAACACUGAUGGCUGAUGGUAAAGCUGCUCUGGGUAAUUUAAAUUCAGUAGCUUCUGGAAUUGGACAUGGCAAGGUUCAUGAUUCAAAUUCAAAGAGUGCAAAAGUUCAUAGAAAGUAUCCCCAGAGUUUUGUGUGUGUGAUUGAGCUUCUUCUAGAUUCUGUGUGCACUUAUGUACCUCCUUCUAAAGAUAAUGCUGUCGUUGAUGUUCUCCAUGAUACACCAUCUUCAACUGACAUGGAAAUUGAUGUUGCUGCUAUUAAAGGGAAGGGAAAAGCUAUUGCCUCGGUGUCUGAAGAUAACGAAGCUGGUACCCAAGAGGCUCCUGCAUCUCUUGCAAAGGUUGUUUUUGUUUUGAAGCUUCUGACAGAGAUCUUAUUGAUGUAUGCUUCAUCUGCUCAUGUUCUGCUUCGGAAAGAUGCUGAAAUUGGUAGUUGCAGGGCCCCUAGUCAAAAGGGUCCUACUGCUGUAUGCACUGGUGGAAUAUUUCACCAUGUUCUUCAUAAGUUUCUUCCAUACUCACGCAGUGCCAAGAAGGAAAAGAAAGCAGAUGGUGAUUGGAGGCACAAAUUAGCAAGCAGGGCUAGCCAGUUUUUGGUUGCAUCAUGUGUUCGUUCUUCUGAGGCAAGGAAGAGAGUUUUUACCGAGAUCAGUUAUAUUUUUAAUGAUUUUGUUGACUCAUGCAAUGGUUUCCGGCCACCUGACAAUGAAAUACAAGCCUUUUGUGAUCUGCUUAAUGAUGUUCUGGCUGCUCGUACUCCUACGGGUUCAUACAUUUCUGCGGAAGCUUCUGCCACUUUUAUAGAUGCUGGUCUGGUCGGAUCAUUGACUCGAUGCCUCCAAGUGCUGGACCUGGACCAUGCUGACUCGCCUAAAGUUGUCACCGGUCUUCUCAAAGCUCUCGAGUUAGUAACCAAAGAACAUGUCCAUUCUGCUGACUCAAAUGCUGGUAAGGGUGACAAUUCUACAAAACCUCCUGAUCAUAAUCAAUCUGGAAUGGGAGAUACUAUUGGUGAGAGAUCCCAAUCUAUGGAAACACCAUCCCAGUCCCACCAUGAUUCUGCACCAGCCGAACACAUUGAGUCUUUUAAUGCGGUCCAGUCUUUUGGUGGUUCUGAAGCAGUCACAGAUGAUAUGGAACAUGACCAAGAUCUUGAUGGAGGUUUUGCUCCUGCUAAUGAAGACUACAUGAAUGAAAAUUCGGAGGAAACAAGGGGUCUUGAAAAUGGCAUUGAUACUAUGGGUAUAAGGUUUGAAAUACAGCCUCAUGAGCAAGAAAAUCUUGAUGACGACUCUGAUGAUGAUGAUGAGGAUAUGUCUGAGGAUGAUGGAGAUGAAGUAGAUGACGAUGAAGACGAGGACGAUGAGGAGCAUAAUGAUCUCGAAGAUGAAGUCCAUCACCUGCCACAUCCUGACACUGAUCAAGAUGAUCAUGAGAUGGACGAUGAUGAGUUUGAUGAGGAAGUAUUAGAGGAAGAUGAUGAAGAUGAAGAGGAUGAGGAGGAUGGAGUUAUACUGAGGCUGGAGGAAGGCAUAAAUGGGAUUAACGUUUUUGACCAUAUUGAGGUUUUUGGUAGAGAUCACGGUUUUCCCAAUGAAACACUUCAUGUGAUGCCGGUUGAGGUUUUUGGUUCUAGGCGUCAAGGGCGCACUACUUCUAUUUACAGUCUUCUGGGCAGAACGGGUGAGAAUGCAGCUCCAUCAAGGCAUCCUCUUCUGGUUGGACCUUUGUCGCUGUCGUCGGCCCCGCCUAGGCAAUCAGGUAAAUAUGCUUAAAUGCUUUUAAUGUGCCUUAACUGCUAUUGUACAUUAUUCUAUUUGUUUUCUCCUCUGAUUGUGGGUUCCUGACUUCCAGAUAAUGCCCGUGAUGCGGUCUUACCAGAUAUAAACUCAGAGGUCACAUCUUCAAGAUUGGAUAAUAUUUUCCGAUCACUGAGGAAUGGGCGCCAUGGACACCGCCUGAACUUGUGGAUGGAUGAUAACCAGCAAGGUGGUGGAUCAAAUGCAAGUGCAGUGCCACAUGGACUUGAGGAUUUGCUUGUGUCCCAAUUGAGGCGACCAACGCCUGACAAGCCUUCUGAAGAGAAUAAUACAAAAUCAGUGGAUUCUCAGAACAAAGGUGAAACUGUAGAGUUACAAGAAUCAGAAACAGAUGUAAGGCCUGAAAUGCCCGUUGAAAACAAUGUCAAUAUUGAAAGUGGAAAUUCGCCGCCUCCUGAUCCAAUUGAUAAUUCUGGCAAUGCUGAUCUGAGACCAACUACAGUGAGUGAGUCUGUACAAGCAAUGGACAUGUCUAGCAUGCAUCCACAGUCCGUUGAGAUGCAGUUUGAACACAAUGAUGCAGCUGUUCGGGAUGUAGAAGCUGUGAGCCAGGAAAGUAGUGGAAGUGGAGCAACUUUAGGGGAGAGCCUUCGUAGCCUUGAUGUUGAAAUUGGGAGUGCUGAUGGUCAUGAUGAUGGUGCAGAGAGGCAAGGUUCUGCUGAUAGAAUGCCACUAGGUGAUUCACAGGCAGCUCGAGGAAGAAGAACAAAUGUCUCUUUCGGGAAUUCUGCCACUGUCAGUGCAAGAGAUGUUUCUCUGCAUAGUGUAACUGAAGUUUCUGAGAAUUCUAGCCGGGAGGCAGAUCAGGAGGGUCCAGCAGCAGAACAGCAACUUAACAGUGACGCUGGUUCUGGGGCAAUUGAUCCUGCUUUCUUGGAUGCUCUUCCAGAGGAGUUGCGAGCUGAAGUUCUCUCAGCACAACAGGGUCAAGCAGCGCCACAGUCAAAUGCUGAGCCACAAAAUGCUGGAGAUAUUGAUCCGGAAUUCCUUGCUGCCCUUCCUCCUGAUAUCAGAGCAGAAGUUUUAGCCCAACAGCAAGCUCAAAGGCUACAUCAAUCUCAGGAACUGGAAGGUCAACCAGUUGAAAUGGACACGGUCUCAAUAAUUGCAACAUUUCCUUCAGAUUUGCGUGAAGAGGUACGCUGUUCAGGUUCAUUGGGCUGUGUUAAAUUCACAAUCAAAUGUGUAAUUCAAGCUGUAAUAAAUUGUUCUUUGUUUCUGUGCUCAGGUUCUAUUAACUUCAUCUGAUGCUAUACUUGCCAAUCUUACACCUGCUCUAGUUGCGGAGGCAAACAUGUUACGUGAAAGAUUUGCCCAUCGUUAUAAUCGCACCUUGUUUGGCAUGUAUCCUAGAAACCGUAGGGGUGAGACUUCAAGACCGGGUGAAGGCAUUGGAUCUAGCCUGGAAAGAAUUGGGGGAAGCAUUGCCUCGCGUAGGUCUAUUGGUGCUAAGGUAGUUGAAGCUGAAGGAGCUCCCUUGGUUGACACAGAGGCUCUGCAUGCAAUGAUCCGUGUACUCCGCGUUUUUCAGGUAGAAUAUGAGUGUAAUAGGAUUUUCCUUUUUAUUUGCCUUCUCCUUUUUUAUUGGAAACUGAUAGACACAAUUUUGCAGCCUCUGUAUAAAGGCCAGCUGCAGAAGCUUCUGUUGAAUUUAUGUGCUCAUAAUGAAACCCGAAAUUCUCUUGUGAAAAUUCUCAUGGACAUGCUAAUGCUUGAUACAAGAAAGUCUGCUGAUCACUCAACUGCUGCUGAGCCCUCGUAUCGGCUUUAUGCUUGCCAGAGUAAUGUGAUUUGUUCACGUGCUCAAUCUGGUAAGAUCUCCUUUAUGAUGCAUUAGUACUGAGAAUGUUAGCCAAUCAAGUGGUACUCAGGAACAGUAUACAGUAUCGUUCAAAGUUUUCUUUUGAGGAUAUAGCUGUAGUAAUGAGAUGUAUAGUCAGAAUGUUAUUAUCACACUCAAGGCAAUAUUGUGAUAUAGGAUAGUGGAUGAUGGGAACUGGUGGGUUUCUUUUUCCUGAAUUAGUUGGACCAACUUUUGGGGAAAAAAAGUUCCAUUGUGAUUUUUAACUUAGUUUCCAUCUAAGUAAAUUUUGUUAUCCUUUUGCUCUAGUUAAGAUGUCUUAGUUUCAUCUCACGGAGCAUAUUAUUUCCAUAGUGCAAACAUUUUAUUUAUUUAUAUUUGUUGUUGUAUAAUUAGCACUAUAAAUAUUAAAUAUUAUUAUAUUACUUUUAAAUAUAUACUUCCCUAAUAUGGCGUCCAGUUCAUUCUCACUUUCCCCACAAAAUUUUUUUUAGACAAAUUUUUGGUGGGCCGAGUACGUACCAAGUUUUGUUGUUAUUUGCAGCUUAUUGUUGAUUAGUACGUACCACAAAAUUAGACGUUGUUGAUGUUGUGUUUUUUUGGGUCCAUGAACUUGUUAAUCAUCAAGCACCCUUAUCCUUUGACAAGUAGGAUUGUACCUUAGCAGCUAAUUUAGUUGUCGUUUCUAAUGUCUUGCCUGUUACUCUAUAGGUGUUCCUCCAUUGGUAUCUCGGCGGAUUCUCGAAACUCUGACUUAUUUGGCUCGACAUCAUCCUAAUGUGGCAAAGAUUUUGCUUAACCUGAGGUUGCCUCAUUCUGCCCUGCAAGAACCAGAUAAUAUCAAUCACACACGUGGCAAAGCUGUGAUGGUUGUUGAAGAGACUGGAUCAAAUAAAAGUCAUCAGGAAGGAUAUCUAUCUAUUGCUUUGCUUUUGAGCCUCUUGAAUCAACCCCUUUAUUUGUUCAGAAGUAUAGCUCAUCUUGAACAGGUGAGAAUCUGCAUGAAUUUUUAUUUUAUUUUAUUUUAUUUUGUGGGGACUUCUAAUUUUCUGUGAAACUUUAGUAAUUUAGAUUUACACUCGUCCAAAUAUUCUUUUUACAGCUUCUUAACUUAUUGGAGGUCAUCAUUGAUAAUGCUGAAAGCAAGUCGUCUGACAAACCGGGGGUUGGAGUUUCUGUUUCUGAGCAACCUUCUGCUCCUCAAAUUUCAGCUUCAGAUGCUGAGAUGAAUACAGAUUCUGGUGGGACUUCUGUUGUAGAUGGUACGCCAGAUAAGGUUGAUGAUUCCUCCAAACCAACUUCUGGUGCAAAUAACAAAUGCAAUACUGAAAGUGCUCUGCUUAACCUUCCGCAAGCAGAACUGCGCCUUCUAUGCUCACUGCUUGCACGAGAAGGGUAUGAAAAUUAAACUUCUAUUUUGCUAGCAGCUUUAUCAUUCUAUUGCUAAGACCAUUUCUUUUCUUUCUUUAUCCUUUUUUGAACUGUACUUUUAUCAUUAUUCAUGAUUAAUUAUGAAGAUUACUGAUCAGGAGAUAAUUAUUGAGGCUUAUAGCUACUACUGAAUUAUAUACACAACUUGUGAGUUUGACAUUUUAUCUUUUCAAUCCAGGCUGUCAGAUAAUGCAUAUACUCUUGUAGCAGAGGUAAUGAAAAAGUUGGUGGCAAUAGUUCCUCCCCAUUCGAACCUGUUUAUUACUGAGCUGGCAGAUGCUGUUAGAAAUUUGACUAGAGUUGCUAUGAAUGAGUUGCACACGUUUGGUCAAACAGUGACAGCACUACUCAGUACCAUGUCUUCUGUUGGAGCUGCUAUUUUAAGAGUUCUGCAGGCAUUAAGUUCCCUUGUUGCCUCUUUGAUGGAGAAAGAGAAGGAUCCACAGAUUCUUGCAGAAAAGGAGCAUACUGUUUCUCUUUCUCAGGUUUGGGACAUCAAUGCGGCUUUGGAACCUUUGUGGCUUGAGCUGAGCACUUGCAUAAGUAAGAUAGAGAGCUAUUCAGAUUCUGCCCCUGAUUUGGCGGCUUCAUAUAAAGCUUCCACAUCUAAGCCAUCUGGUGUAAUUCCUCCACUGCCUGCCGGCACUCAGAACAUCUUGCCAUACAUAGAAUCUUUCUUUGUCGUGUGUGAGAAGUUGCAUCCUGGGCAGCCAGGCCCUGGCAAUGACUUUAGUGUUGCUGCGGUUUCUGAGGUUGAUGAUGCAAGUACAUCUGCUGGCCAGCAGAAAACCUCAGGUCCCACUUUGAAAAUUGAUGAAAAGCAUGUUGCUUUUUUGAAGUUCUCAGAGAAGCAUAGGAAAUUGUUAAAUGCUUUUAUCCGUCAAAAUCCUGGUUUGCUAGAAAAGUCUUUCUCACUUAUGCUGAAGGUUCCGCGAUUUAUUGAUUUUGACAACAAGCGGGCUCACUUCAGAUCGAAAAUAAAGCAUCAACAUGAUCAUCAUCACAGUCCUCUAAGAAUUUCAGUAAGAAGGGCAUACAUUCUUGAAGAUUCAUAUAAUCAGCUUCGCAUGCGAUCGACUGAGGAUUUGAAGGGGAGAUUGACAGUUCACUUUCAAGGAGAGGAAGGUAUUGAUGCAGGUGGACUUACAAGGGAAUGGUAUCAGUUGUUGUCCAGGGUUAUUUUUGACAAGGGGGCACUACUAUUUACAACUGUGGGCAAUGAAUCAACAUUUCAGCCGAAUCCCAACUCUGUUUACCAAACAGAACACCUUUCAUAUUUCAAGUUUGUUGGGCGAGUGGUGAGUACCGGAGUUAUUUAGUGGCUUUUGUUGGACAGAAUUGUUUAGUCAGAAGUUUAUUCUGACAUAUACUUUUGCAGGUUGGGAAAGCACUUUUCGAUGGCCAGUUAUUGGAUGUUCAUUUCACGCGAUCUUUCUACAAGCACAUUUUGGGGGCUAAGGUCACUUAUCAUGAUAUUGAGGCCAUUGAUCCUGAUUACUUUAAAAAUCUCAAGUGGAUGCUUGAGGUAUGUUUUCGACCACACGCUCUUCUUUCAGUCUCUUGCUCGCUUGUAUGUUUUCAACUAGUUAUUCUCUCUUUCUCUCUCUCAACCCCAUUUUCUUGCCCAUCCUUUUGCAGAAUGAUAUAAGCGAUGUGCUAGACCUUACUUUCAGCAUUGAUGCUGACGAGGAAAAGCUGAUACUAUAUGAAAGGACAGAAGUAAUGAAUAUUUCAUUUCCCUGGAUGGACUAAAUAUUUCUGUUUAAGCUUUACAUUUGUUGUACUAACUUUCUUGAUCAUAUGCAGGUGACAGACUAUGAACUGAUUCCUGGUGGCCGGAACAUAAAAGUUACAGAGGAAAAUAAGCACCAAUAUGUUGAUUUAGUUGCGGAGCAUCGGUUAACAACUGCUAUUCGUCCUCAGAUAAAUGCAUUUUUGGAAGGAUUCACUGAAUUGAUUCCCAGAGAACUAAUAUCCAUUUUUAAUGACAAGGAAUUGGAACUACUGAUCAGUGGACUUCCAGAUAUUGAUUGUGAGUUCCCUAGUCAACUUUUUAUUUCUUCUGUAUUGCCUUUAUGUUGCAGGGCGUGCAAUUCUUACAAAGUUUGCUUCCAUGUAUUUCAGUGGAUGACAUGAGGGCAAAUACUGAAUAUUCUGGAUACAGCCCCGCAUCUCCUGUCAUACAGUGGUUCUGGGAGGUUGCCCAAGGUUUUAGCAAAGAGGAUAAAGCUCGUCUAUUGCAGUUUGUGACUGGCACCUCUAAGGUAUUAGUUUGCAUUCUUUUUCUUUGUUUUCUAUACAACUGGGAUACAAUUAGGGACACGUUGAUAACUGCUUCAUUUGGAUUUUUUUUUUCUGUUUAUUCAAGUAGUUGGCUUCUCAUUGUAAAAUGGAACAUACUCUCUCAACUUUGGUUUAGUAUUAUGAAAAUGUCCGCAAACCUUCGCAUUGUUUUAGAAAUUGGCAUUGGAAUUAAAAGAAGCGGCUGUGUAAUUGGGGCAUCACCUUUCAGAACAUAUGGAAAGGGUUCAAUAUACAUGGGUCUCUUUAGCAUGUAUUGAGUUUGGUUGUAAAAUUGUCUAGGUUUCCAGUUUACUGUCUUGCUAUGCUUUCUAGUUUCCUUAUUCAGUAGAUUCUAAAUUCAGAUUUUUGUAAUUCUUCUUGAAUGGUGUGGGACAUGACCAUAAUCUGAUCUGAUUUUGGAAUCACAUAAUUAUGUUCACAUUUUAGAUAUUUUGGUGAUGUAUUAUGGCAUGUACUGCAUUGUUUCAUAAGACGCAGUGUGAGCAUUGCUUUUUCAUUUUUUCCAGGUGCCUUUAGAAGGUUUUAGUGCACUUCAAGGGAUUUCAGGCUCACAAAAGUUUCAGAUACACAAGGCGUACGGCAGCGCUGAUCAUUUGCCAUCUGCACAUACUUGGUAUCAUCUACUUUCAUCAUCUACUUUUUUCUCAAUAAUUUGUUAGUCUCCAAUUUGAGUAUUUUUAAUAGCUUUGCUUCUGGCUAUUUCAUGUUUCAAUAUUUGGUCCUCUUAAUUAGCUUGUGGCAUGUGCUUAGCUGAACAAAGCAUUUACUUGUUUAUGCAGUUUCAACCAGUUGGAUUUACCUGAGUAUCCUUCUAAACAACAUCUUGAGGAGAGAUUGCUUCUUGCGAUUCACGAGGCCAAUGAAGGAUUUGGAUUUGGUUAAGAGUUUAGGGGGUUAUAAAGUGGUCACCAUGUAGAUAAUAUUAAAUGUUCAAAGUUAUAUCAUGGAAGGGUGUCAGUGGUAAAUGGGCUAAGAGAUGCUGAGUUUUUCUUGAUGCAUUAUAAACUGUACAGUCCUUUUUUUCUUUGCAAUGAAAGUGUCUUUGGCAGUUAUUUUUUGCCAAUUUGCUUUCACUCAUCAUUUUAUAGCCUGGUAACCUUUUCUUUGAUCUCUCUCUUUCCCUCCACCAACCACACCAUGAACGUUACAAACCAUAUUCUUUAUUUUAACGCGGUGCAAAAUGCAACUUUAUUGUUGCUUUUGUUUCUCUGUUUUAUUUGGUCACUAAUUUUGAUGUCAUUAAAAACCUAAAACCCAAGGAAUUUGGCAAAAUCUAAGUAAUUAUAUAUUUAUUCACCAGACAAUUUCAUAUUUCACCCUAUCCACGGCUUGUUUACAUACUCCCUCUUCUGAAGAAAUCAUAUUCCCUUUUUUUAUGGUUGAAAUUGACAGAAAAAAUAAAAACAAAAACUCCCGUGCUAGGUUCAACGUGCUAAUUGUUACUUCUGAAAAGUUGGGACUGCUCUUGCAGUAAUAAGGGUCUUUCUGAAAGUGCAGCUUCCAUAAAACGCUUUUAUGACCCAGACAUGCCCUUAAUAGUAUGUUUAAUACUCAAGACUUAUAUCCUCUAGUCUCAUAUUUACUGCUCAUACAUAUACAAAAGGUCCAAAACAUUUGGAGGAUAUAAUAAUUUUUCUAUGAUAAAAGUGGAUGAAGUACAGACGAAAACUGAUGUGCAAGUAACAUGUUGAGGAUGCUCUUGCUCUAUCUUAACCAGAUCCUCGACUGUUUCACAGCUGGAACCUGAUCCUUAUAGUUUUUGUUGUUAGGGCCUGCUUUCUGAGCAGAAGUUGAUGGUUUUAUGCUUCUUGUGAUCCUGGCCAACGCUUUUUGGUCACCCGACAUUUCUGUCCUGGAUUCAGCUGACAACAUCUUCCUAUCAACCAAAGUAGCUGGAAACAUGAGAUUCUCGUUCCCUUUGCUUUGCAACUCCCUUCUUCUCCUUAAUGCACGAAGGGAGUUGGUUCCCUUGAGUAGGACAGACUCCUGGUUUGUCAUUUGGUUGCUGUAGCUCAAGCUCCUUAGCCUCAGUGGAUCUAUGUCGCUGAUAGUGUCACAUCUGAACCAGGUUUUUCUUUCCUUGGGGGUGGCUCCUGACUUCUCAGCAGAAAAUGUUGAUAUUACGUGUCCUUGUUCGUUCCGUCUCAACUUCUCUUCGAGCUCUUUUACCUGACAACAUUUUGGGAGGGAGGGGAUUACUAAUUAGUAUAUCUGUCUGUCAAUCAUUUUUACAUGCACAAGGAAACUUGUAGAAAGAACCUUUUGUUGAAGCAACUGAGUUCCUUUGUUGUUUUCCUCCAUUAUCAGCUUUUUCUCAAGUUCUUGAACCUGCCGCAACAGAAAGCAAUAAAGUACAACCGUGGUCAAUUUCCAGAUGCGGUAGCAUGCAAGACUGCUGUGUUUGUGUGUACAGAUGGAUUAUAUCCUAGAAUUAUAGCAUUGAAUCUGAGAUCUGAACAGAAUACCUUCUGUACACUAUGGCAAUUACAUUAUUCUAUUUUUAAUAUUUACACAUAAAUUACCAAAGCCCACUAGUGUCCCUUGCAUACACAGCUAGCGAAUAUCUAUAUUAUGCCUAAGUACCCCAGUAUAAGUAAUUCACUACUACUAAGAACAGAAGAUAAAAACAUGGGGCUCAUCAAUUUACUUGCAAAAAGAAUCUAGAGGAGCAAGAUAAUUUGCUGAAUAAACUUCUCAACAAAAUUUCAAUUUCAUUGCACUUAUUAGGUCCAUUCGAAAUUGAUAGAGAAAAAUAGGAACAAUCAGAGGCCUGGAAGUAUCUUUAAUAAUUUGGAUUGUGAUAUUAUAUUAAAGAGAAAAAAAUGAAAAUAACCUUGGAAGUUUUUGACAAUUACCUUCCCCUGAACUAUAGCCGAAUGAUGCUCAUACACUUGUGUUCUUUCUUUUAACUUGUUCUCAAGUUCCUUAACCUGUGUAGCAUGAACAAGAAGUCAAUAUUCAACUGUUAUUAACAAGGGCCCUAACUUCUAAUUCACGCAGAUCUGUCGGCAAAUUUUCUCUGGUCAAACGCCUAAGCUCUUUUAUCUGACAUGGAAACUAGUUCUUACGCUGAUGAUAACCAAUAGUUCAGACAGAGAUAUAGUUGUUCCUCUGAUAAGUGAAGAUGACUAAGUAAUACGACUCAUGUCACUCCCAAUAACAGAACCACAGCGAGUGAUGGUGGGAAUUGAUCCGCCUAUCCACUUACCUGGUAGAAAUGAUGACAGUCAUUCCUUCCCCCACAAUAUGCAAGUGGAAUGAAAGUCACAGAAGUCUGACUCUAUGAUAUUUGUGCAAGUGACAAGGGUCUUCAAAGAAAACAGUUCCAUAAAAAUUCUAGUUUUAAGUAGAUUUCACUACAGACCUUGUUUUGAAGAAUCAUGGAAUCUACAUGUUCCUGUUCAUUCAGCUUGUCCUCAAGCUCUUUGACCUUUGGGAAAAUUAGAAGCAAGAUGUUAAGCCAACAUAAUUAAACCGUUUAUAACAAGAACAUGAAGUUAACAUAAAUCAUCUUCCAAGCCACCUUUUUCUGAAGAUUCAAGCAGGUUUCACUCUUUCCAUUUGCUUCCUCUGAAAGUUUCAACAAUUGGUUUUCCAGUCGUCUGCAUAGAUCUAUCUUCACAGCAAUGUGGUCUUCAAGUUCAUUAAUCCUUUCUUGUUGACUUCUAGACAGUUGACACUCCUCUUUUGCUUUAUCUUCUAGAUUCUGAAAGUUCUCUUCUAAUUUUUGUAAAGCAUCAUCUUUGAAUCUCAACUCUUGCUUUAGCUUGUCAAGCUUCAAAAGCAAAAAAAAAAAAAAAAAAAAAAAGCAACAUCAACCAUCUGUCAACUGCUGCCUCAGUUGAAAGGUCUCUUUUAAUAUUUGUAAACAUCAUCUUUAGCCUUCCCAGGCCUUACCAUUUGUCUUAGCUUUUGAACCUCGCCCAUAUCUAUUUGCUUCCUUGCAGGACCCAACUCCACCCCUCGAACCCGUGUUGCAAAGUUUAGAGAACUAAGAGUCUCACUUAGAUCCUGCUCAGAAGGGCUAAUUUGGACAAACAUAAGAGUUUUAGCAUCACCCCCUGUGACAUGCCAAAAUAAAAAAAUGCUAUUACAAGCUGAUCUCUCAUACUUAAAAGAUAUUUUAAAAAAAUAAAAACAUAAAGAAAGAAAACUAGUAGUUACAUUCAAGACCAGGUCAUAAAAAAUUAAUUUCAUUGUAACGUGAGAAAAAAUAACUAAUAUUUCUGACACAUGGCUGUUUCUCACUUCCUAGUUCUAAAGUACAAAUAAAUAAGGAAUUCUACUUUGCUGUGUAUAAAUGCUUCCUUUUUUCUGAUAUAUUAACAGCUCAUUCAAGCUGCAAGCGACAUUCAAUUUUGUGUUGCUGCUUACCCAAGGAGUCAUGAAGUAGAUGCGUGAGCUUGGAAUUCCUACAAACACCAAGGACAUCAGAAUAUGAGAACGGGAUAGACAGGUCUAAAUACAAGAAAAAUAAAAACAAACCUGUACGGAAUGUGGCUUCUUUUUGUUGCUAAAGCAGAAAUAACAUCCCCAAGAGCUGAAAGAGAUCUAUUGAUGUUUUGAGCUUCCUUAAGGCGUUCCCCUUGAACUUCAGUUUUUGCUAGCCUCUCACUGCCAGCCAAGUCCACAAGCCAAAGCUUGCUCAUGGUGCAUUCACCACUGAUCAAAUUCUUUGCUUUUACCAUGAUGCAAAGUAUGCUGACAGAAGACAGAACAAAGAACAUCACAUUAUGGUAAGGAAAGUAAUAUUACAAAGGCCCACACAAGUACACCCUCUUGUCUGCAAGGAUCAAAAUAGAUCAGAUCAAUAUAUGUGGAUGGAAGUUCAGGUCAAUUCUAACCAAUGAGAUCGGCUGCUAUGUUCAUUCACAUUGUUUGAGCCUACUGCUCUUGCACUGCUUCCAGCUUGCAGAACAUUCCAAGCCUCUUUAAUGCCCUCAACUUUGGCUUCGACAAUUCCAGGUAUGUGAUGAACACCUUCAGGAGCUUGCCUCAUCUCCAACCUAAAACACACAGAAAAUUUCUAGUCUACAAGGCAGUCUACAUAUUAUAUGACCAAACCAAGCCACAUCUACACUAAGCUAAGCAAUAUUUAACGGCUAGCAACAAAACUAUUGCAAGCCAGGUGAGAUUUCUGAGUUGCAUGGUAAAUUGUAAUAGAGUGAAAAUUUACCUUUUGGAUGUUGGAGAGGUUGCUAGCAAAUCCCUGAUUUGCUCAUUGUAGACUUCAAGCACACUAACAGAUAUGUUGUAUAUGAAAGUUUCUUUCCUUUCGUCAGCAAUUUUAAACAACUGUUCCAAGGUCCUAUAAUUGACCCCUCGGUUAGUAUCAGAACCUUCCAUUGUGAAAGUCUUUCCUGUCCCCGUUUGCCCAUAAGCAAGUAUACAAACAUUGUAGCCGUCUAACACUGAGAUUAUCAUUGGUGAAGCAUCUGCAAAUACAUCGACUGUAACAGCAAGACAAAACUUCAUGUCAAUAAAUUAUCAUGUGUAAGAUCACUGAUCAACCACUGCCCAAUAAUUCAAUAAAAUAAAAUAAGAACUAAUCCAGGUUAAGUAAUUUUUAAGGUAGAAAAUUUCCGUUGUGGUGUAUGCAUACCUUGAUCAUCCUUUGGUGUGUAAAUUCGGUCAAAUCUGAAUAUCUUCUUAGUGGAGCCACUUGUAAGUAUCCCAAGCUCUCCAUCUUUAGCCACAUCAAAUUGUACAACUGUUGCCUGCCCAGCUAAUAGAUCCUCUUUCCUCAAUGGGCGACACCGACAAAACACUCUAAUGUUCCCUGGAAUUUACAUUUCAACUUCAAAUCACAAGCUAUUGAUUGACAAAAAGAAAACAUGAUUUUUUUUUCAAAAGUUUAAUGGGAAUAAAAGAAACAACGAAAAGAUUAUGCCUUUUGCCUCCUGAAUUUGGUUGUAAAGUAUCUUCCUCUUUGCCUGCUCCUCACUGAACUUAAGCUUAAGAUCAUCAGACUGUGCAACUGCAAUAUGGAUAGUGUAUUUAGAUAUAUAUUAUAAAAAUAUAUAUAUUUAUUAUAUUAAAAAAAAAACAACAACAACAACAGUGAUACAAAACUUACCCAUUGCUUGAACUGCAGAUACCAUAUUGUUCAAUUCUGGAAUUGCAUCAGUGAAUUCGUGCACUUCAGAAUAGAGCUGAGAAUACUCUUUCUUGAUCGACUGCAAAUGGAUCAAGAAAUCAUUCAUUUUCAGUCCACCCAAGAUAUCAAUACAUGAAUCUGCGGAGAAUACAUGCAAAUAAUAUACCUACCUUAACUUUUCUUUCUAAAUUGUCAGCAACUGCAGUCCACAGCCUCUUAUCAUGCUCAUAUUUACCAGAAAUAUCUCUCAAUUUCGCUGCAGUUUCUUCUCUAGCUUGAUCUGCAAAAGUAGUUUAUAAUCUGUCUUCGAACGAAUAAAUGUUUUGAAAUUUGAUCAGAUAGACCAAAGGGGACUCCUCUCUGAUGAUACUCAAAGAGAAGGUAUUUUCAACACUCAGUUUCGUACCACAUAACUGAAAUUAUCAUUACUUCUAGUUGGAUCUUGCCUUACCUAAACAAUGACUUUCAUACAUUUUGUUAUCAAGUUGCAUGGUUACGUUCUGCAACUGUUUGUUUGCAGAUGUCAGUGACAUCCAAGCUUCAUGGGAUUCAUCUGUCUUGACCUGGCACUGGGUCCCCAGCUCCUCUAUCUUCUUUUCAUACUUAGCUGUAUAUUCCAACCUUAUAUAUUUUUCCUGCAAUUUUUAAUAAUUGAAGGCAAUAUAAACAAAAAGUCAAAGGUUCCAAAGUUCCAACAUUAAUUUGAAACUAUAUCUAACCUGAGCAGAUGAAAUUUCUAUUUCAGCAGUACAGUUGUUACAUACAAGACGUCCAUGUUCCACCUUUGAUGCUUCAUUCAAGUUAUAUGAUAGAAGGAAUGAGUCUCAAGAGUAAGUUAUGUUCAGAUAUAUCUCAUAUAGUCGACUGAAAAUAAAAAUAUAAAGAUACCAGGUAACGUAGCCGCCCGCUUUAUACAAAUUCCCCCAACAAUUGGACUUCCAUUAACGCCUACGAACCUUAUCGAAAUUGACUCAUCCUCCCAUACAGAAACUCUGACAUCUACCAACUGUAGUGCCUUAUUAGCUCCAACAAUAGAAUAGAUAUCAAUUCCUGAUAGAACCUGUUAUUACACAGAUUAAAACAGACCAUUUUCAGAAAUAAUGUAGUUUAUGAAAUUAUGCCAGAAACGUAUCAAAUUUGAGGUACCAAAGGAAGAUGUUAGAAAAAAUUUCCAUUGGGUUUACUUGCCUUCUCUUCCUGCAUGAGGACAUCAAAAACUCUCAUUCCUUUCGGACCAUUUGUGUAUACAAUUUCUGCAAAAUGAAGAUCUACAAAAUAAUCUCCAGGAGAUAGGUUCUCAAACCGGUAAGAGAAAUUUCCAAAACGUGCAGAUUGAUAAAUGGAUGGUACAUCACUUCCGUCAAUGGUUUCAUCGGUUCUUAGAACAUUCCCUCCUUGGAAAAAUCUGUCAGGCUCAACUUGAAUACCGAUAUUUCUAUUUUCGUUAAGAGCCUCCCCUCCAGCAUUCACAAACAACACAAGGUUAUCUGGUUAAAGCGAAAAAAAAAAACAAUGUGAAUGCAACCAUAUGCAAUGCGAACUGACAAUCUUAAUAUGAUGGAACAUACGGUUCUACAUCAAGAAAAAAUGACCAGCCAAAAAAUAGAAAGGAAAAAAAAUGAGAAAUGCAAAAUUUUAAAAACUUGAAUUUUCAUACUACAGACUGCGGUUUGAUAAUUGCGCCAAGAAUCAUAGUCUAAUUUCAAUUUCUUUCCAUCACAUAAAACCUAUACCUUCAGCUUCCAAGAAUGAUCGAUUUACUUGUAACUUUUGGUUUCUGUAACUCAAUAGAAGAAAACAAAAACUGAAAGAGAAUGCUGCAAUUGUUACAAACCUGAGCAUGUGGAGUGCACAAACCCGGUCCGGACCAGUCUUGAACCGGGAACACAGAGAGCCGAGAGGGUCGAAUCGUCGUCGUCAUUGUCAUCGCCAUAGUCGAGCUGCUUGGGGUGUUUUUCGGGGCCAAGAACACUGCAAGGGAUUGGGGUUUCUGGGAAUUCGUGGUGGGAGUUGGUGGACUGUGUCUCUUCCAUGAGAGAGGGAAUCGAGAGAUUCUUGGAGCGUGCGAGGGAGCAGAGCAGCUCUGUUUCUGAUUUUUGCGGUAACUUUUCGUGUCCUUCCUUUUAUUGCUUCAAAAUUUGAAAUUUCGAAUUAAUUGACCGUUUUUUUAUUUUUUAUUUCGAGUAUGCUUCCCUCCUUAAAAUUGAAGACAUCCUCAUAACACUUGUUAAAUUCUAAAAGAAAAAAAAGGUUUAAAGUAAUUCAAAAGAAAGAAAAAUGUAUUAUUAAAAAAUUUUAAAAUAAUGGAAAUUAAUGUUUCAUAAUUUGUAAAAUUUCUUGUUUAGCUAAUUUAACCUUUAUUAUCUUGUGGUAGUUGUGGUGUCAUCAUAUCUGAUAUUUGUGGUGAGAUGGCUAGUGGUAGGGUGUUGGUGGUGGAGUGGGGGCGGAGAUGGUGGUAGGGUGAUGGUGACGACGAUGGUGGUGGGGGUGGUUGUUAAGAGUAUGUCCAGCGCAUGGGCCCAGCCCGGGCAAAAGGCAGCCUCAGGCUCCAAAACCCCCUCCAGUGCGCAAGGUUCAGCCCUAGCAAUAGCUGGGUCCCAAGAGCCCAGGCAAGUCCAUGAGCAAAUUCAGCCUAAGCUGCUGCCUAGGCAGAAUGAUGUAAUGUUGACGUCAUAAUGACGUCAGCAACAACAAAAAAAAGGGGAAAAAAAUUGAAAAAAAUACACAAAAUUCUAGAUUUUUAUUUUUUAUUUUAUAUAAAUACCUAACCAUAUUCUUUACUUCCCACACCAAAAACUCUAUACAAAUUCAUCUAUUCAUAUCUCAUGUGAAUAGUUAUUGCCUUCGCCCUUGCCCUUUGGAGUGGAACCAAAAAAGACAAGAAUGCCACUAUUCAAGUGAAUAGUAGCAGCCAUUGCCGUGCUUUUGCCUUAACCUUAGCCUUUUGGGGUGGACAUGCGCUAAGGUUAAAAGAAAAUUGUGCCAAGGGGCUAGUUGAGGUUAAAAAAAUAAACUCACACCCAAAACUAUUACAAUAAUGUUAGUACUAGUAUAGUGUCAAUGUGGUUUAAUCUAGGGAUGGUUAUGAUUUGGUUACCGCAACUUUUCAAUUAAAUCAUGAAUCGACCGAUAUAUUGCGGUAUACCACAAAUUGUCGGUAUAUUGCGAUCGAUAUUUCCACGACACAUAACCUUCAUUGUCUAAUUAAAAAUCACGGCCAUCAUCAUUAAUCUCCACUUAAAGAUACUGAAAAAACAAUUAACAAAUACACCAAAAAUGCUUUAAUUACUAAACCCAGAACACUCGUCAAAAACAUCCGAGUCAUGAAAGCAAAUGCAAAACCAACUUGCAGCUGCAAAGCACAAAUGUUCAACAGACAGUAGAAACCAAGCCGUUAGAUUGAUCAAGUCUGAGAGAGAGAGAGAGAGAGAGAGAGAGAGAGAGAGAGAGAGAGAAAAGAGAUCAAACUGCUAGGAUUGAUUGAAGAUAAUAAAUUCUAGCGUUAGAUUCAUCUAAAGGGUAUUCGUUGAUAUCAAAUAAUUAUAAAUAUUUAUUUUAAUAAUUAAUUAAAUUAUAUUUGUGAUUUGCGGUAUACGCAGAACCGUCACCGCAACCGCAUAUUGCGGUCGGUUUAUAUGCGGUACAGCCUCGGUCGGUAAUUGCGGUUUUUGGCUUCUCGGUCUAAAGUGCCAGCCCUAGUCUAACCCAAUGGAAAAAGGCAUGGACUUAGUGGUCUUAAGUUCGAACCCAGUAGUGUGUGCGAGAAACUCCCUCCUCCCCCUCUAGUUUAGGAUAUCACUUGUACCCAAAAAAAUAUAUAUAUAUACUAGUAUAGUAUCCUGUCGGAAAAAUAUUAAAUUUUGAGUACCAUUCUUUUGCAAGCCGCUUUUGUAUCAACAAGGUCUAGGCUCAUGUCAAAUUGUCAUUUAGGCAUAUCAAAUUUGCUCACUAAAUUAUUGUCAUGACACUGAAAAAUUGUGACGGUGAGAAUAAGUUUGGUGAAUGUAAAGAGUGGUCCAACUUUUAAAUCUGCUUUACAUUCUUCUAUUAAAAUCCCAUCUUAGAAAGCCAUAAUUACUCUUCACACUACUCAUGAUAAGGUGUUUGAAGUUUGCUCAAUGAAAGACCAUUUUAAUCUGUCACAGGCCUUUGGCAAAUCAAUUUUCCAAGCAAUAAAAAUGUUGUCAGAUAUUUGUCUUCCGGCACAAAACUAACUUGGUUAGGACUACCCGAUGUGCACAUCGGAGAUUUUAUAAAUAACCUUAUACAAGGUAAUGCAAAGACUGAUUGGUCUCAAGUGAAGCAUGCUCUAAGGACUAGGAAUUUAAGAAACCAGUGUGAUAAAUGUAAACUUCAAAAAAUCAGGGACCAGACAUCUAGAAAAACAGCAAAGCUGAUAUAAGGUUGGAGGUAGGAACCAUGAUACCUGUAAACAUCUUGAAAUGUACAAGAGAGAGUAAGACACAUAACAGACAGCAAAUUUUUCCCAUUAACAUGUCAAGGCUUUCUAUUCACAUCAGCAGGGUUAUAAAUUACAAAAUUCCAUUGGAAAAAUGAUGUGCAACCCCUCAUCUACCACAAAAAUUCAGGCCUGAGGUUGUCCAAUUUGUACUACUUCCACAUCUACCAUAUAUAUAGAUUUGAUUUACUUCAUUUUUCCCGGAACAUGAUUUUAAGGGACAUAAACCCUAGUCAACAUCUAAAAUAUAUCCUGCCUUCGGCAUCCUCCUUGAUAAUGUUAUGAAGGCUAUCAGGAAAAUCAACUGGCCAGAAAACAACAUCACUUCCCAAAAGAACCAUUUUUGAAAGAUGAUCAGCAGCCCUGUUAGUUUCACGCCAUGAAUGAGAUACCUGGUGCUUGUCGAAUUUAUUUAGAAGUUCCCAGAUAUGCUUCAAACAGCUACUAGCCUUUUGACUGUAAGGCCGGUCUCUAUUAAUGGUCUGCACAACGCUCUCUGAAUCAGACUCGACCCAUAUUACUUUAAUCCCAAGACUCAAGGCAAGAACAAGGCCUCUCCAUAUAGCCCAUAGUUCAACCAAAAAAAUGUCAUCUCCUAGAGCUUUAGAGACAAAAGCACAUAUUGGGUCACCCUUAUAAUCACGAAGUAGACCACCAUAACCAGCAUUUUCUCGGUCUACAGAUCCAUCUGUAUUUAAUUUUGUCCAUCCGAGCUCCGGCUUUUUCCAUAUACACAUUCUAAUUGGUCUGGCAACUGGGCUUAGAAUGCCGCUCCAUUUUUCCAGGUUGGCUCUUGCAAUUUGGUUUAGAUUAAAAAUCUUCCCAUUUGCUCUUGCCAUUUGGUUUAGAUUAAAAAUCUUUCCAUUUGCUCUUGCCAUUUGGUUUAGAUUAAAAAUCAUUCCAUCUGUUCUCUUCAGCUUUAGGGAUGAUUUGUAUCCACUAAUGGGGCCUUGUUUGUAAGUUCUUAGUGCUGCUACUUGGGUCUCAUGUUUUUUCCCUCGGAGGUGUUUCUUUAAACAUUUUCCACUUGUAGUGCUAAUUAGACAAAGAGCACAGGUCCACUCCCUCUGAAUUUUCUUUGGACUACUAGGCGAAGUAUACUCCCUUCCUUCUUUUUCAGAACUUGACGCAGGUGUUCCCUGAGAUAAAUGUGCAUUAAAGUCCUCAUUAAACGCCUACGUGGGCAUAGGACAUGAUUGAUCCUAAGAUAAAAGAUUAGUAAGAUAAUAUUGUUUAUGGUUUUUCUUUCUUUUUUUGGGAACAAAUGGCCAAAAAGAAGGGAGGCCCUCUUUGUAUGAUGGCCUCACAAACACAUCAGCAUGUUGGAUUUGCUUUUCUUUACUCAAUCUUCCAUUAGUACAUAAUCCUAAGUCAAUACAACAAAUAUGGUUGUUCAACUAGUAAAUCAUAGCAAUGAAUACCAAGGUUCAAAUACAGCCAGUCGAGAAGUCAAAGCAGUUGACAUGUAAACUAUAGAAGCAACAGAUUAAUUAUCUCUUGCAGCCAAUAGAAAAAUGAAGAAUUCAAAGCAUUGACACACAAGUAUUAUCAAGUUCUCACAUGCACAAGCGACACGAGAAGCUUUUGUGUACAAUCAUCACAAAUAUAAGUUUGAAAGCUUACCUUAAAUAUGACAGCUCCCUCUGACUUUUGUGGUUCGGUCCUGAUAACGUUUUUAUCAACUACAUCAGGAUAGUUAUCCUCCCCUGAAUUGAAACCAUUUAUCCUUUGUAUGGACAGGAUGUUCCAUUUCCAUAUAACUGAAUUCUCAGAAAUAUAGGGCCUAAUAAAAUGCUUGUACAGAUAAGAAGCACCACCAAAGUAAGGUAACACCAGCAAGACGGUAAUGGCACCCUUUGUGUAGGGCCACACCGGAAGCCUGUCAUUGAAAAAAAAUCAGCAAAAGUGUACAUGGCAUAAGCAUAAAUGGGAAUGAGUCAGCAAAUUACCACAUAUGAGCAAGCAUACAUAGACAAUUGAUCAAUCAAGUUCAUGCAUAGGAUUUGGUAGAGCCCAUGUGUAACCAGAAACCCAAAUGUGGUUCUCUUUACGAUUUCCUCAUUUUAACAAAAUCAUGAUAACACGACUCCCAAGUAAAAUCUUUAUGGACCAACACAGAAAGCAGAACUUGAAACCCCAGAUCACCACAGGAAGGAGGAUCAAACUUGAAAAUCACUAAGCAUCACCAAUUUUACACAGAAUUACCUUGGAAUCGCUUCCAUGAAAUUAGAAUGUCUAGUUUCGGAAUCAAAUAUACUAUGCAUAGUCCAUAUACCCAAACUCCGUGAUGAAAACAUUCAAAAACCCGAAUAUGUACCAUAAGAAAAUUAACACAAAAAUGAUCACAUCCAAAUAAGAACAAGCUCCUAAAGAACAAAAGAAGCGUGCAUGUGAAAUGAAAUAAGAUGAACCCUUUAUUCUAAAGACCCAAAAUUACCAGUAAAAAAGUUUUCCAAGCGCUUCCUCUGAGAUUUUGUACAAAGCAAACAUAACCCAGUAAGAAAGACAUUGCUGAUUUCUGGAGUGAGAGUCACUCUCUAUAGCCUGAAUGGAAGCAUACCUGAACCAAAAUUCGAAACCAGAAAUAGAAUCCUCCUCCUCAGUUCCAUGGUAUUCAGAAAUUGACAAUUUAAAAAAAAACACACAACAAGAGAUUCAGCAUUUAAGAAUUUAAAAAAAAAAUUGGGAAAAAAGUUACUUACAGGGUAUAAACCAAAUUAAAUGAAGGCCUGCAUAUCAAAAUAAGUUGAUUAUACAUACAAGUAAAGAUAGAUAGUCAAACUUUUCCAUCUACCACUAUGUGCAUGUAAAACUGAAGUAACAAAAUUAAAAAGUUAACAAAUGUACAGAAUGCAAUUGCCCUUGAAAGUUUCUAAAUAAAAGAAUACAGAUUGAAUAUGCCCCCAAAAAGAAAGAAGAUAUUUGAACAUACCAGGAAAGAACACCCAAGAAGAGUUCUGCUAAGACCUGAAGAAAAGCUUCCCAACCCAUCACUACAGUGUCUGUUCUUCUCUUUCGUUUUCUGCCUUUGUGUCUUAGCACAGACACAGAUUUUACAUUAGCCAAGAAGAAAUUUUUCCUCUUUCACUAAGCAAAGCAGAGAUUUGAACCAAAAAAAAAAAAAAAAAGCAGACAAGAGAGAGUAGUUGUGGAAAACCAAAAAGGCAACUGGGGAGGGGAAGACUUGAAAAGUCAAAAAACCGGAAAACAGAUAUACAAAAAGCAACUACGGUGAAGACCUCCGGGUUAAAGACUAAAGACCCUUGGAUUUCUUUUUUGUGAAGAAAACAUUUGGAUUUCUUAAAUUAAAUUUUGACAAAAAGUCAUUCUUGGUCGUUUUAGUUUACUAAUUUUAUCAUUAAGGUCCUUAUAGUUUCAAUUUGAUCAAUUUUGCAUCUGUAGUUUCAAUUUCAAGCAAUUCAAAGACAAUCCCUAACUUUUUGUCAAAUUAAAGUGACUUUUUGCCUUAAAUCUUUUAGGUUCUGACAAAUUAAAAACAUUACUAAAAUCCUAACUCAUAUUUACAUCUUUUUGUCAAAUUGUAAGUUCGAUAUAUUUAAGAGCUCAUAUCUUGGCAAAGGACCUAGUAUAGUGGUUUUGAGUAAUUACGGUAAGGUUCUAGGUUUGUGUUCUAGAAUUCGUGUUGUGUGUAUGAGUUUAGCAUUGUUCUCAAUAAAAAUAGAUUUUUAACUUUUAAAUUUUAAAUUUUUUUGAAAAAAAAAAGAAGAAAAAAAGAAAAGAAAAGAAAGGAGCUCAUAUCUCGGUUACGACCCUAACUCAUCUUUAUAUUCAUUUCAUCAUCCCAGCAUUUUCCAGCUCCCAAGUGUGGUUUGGUCUCCAUCCACUUUAUUUUUCAACUGGUUUGUAUAUUUACUUUAUUGAACACGUAGAAUAUAUUUGUUUGUUUGCAUGCAUUUCUUUCUUUGUCAUUAAGGUAAGAAGGGAUGUUGUAUAUAAAGAGCUAUAUUCUCAAAAGAGAAGCACGGUGGGGAAGAACACAUCUCGAUUCUCUCUUGCUCUUGAAUCCUUCAAGAAUAAUUCCUUUUGUUUCCAAUACUCUCCAGCUCAUCUAAUCUACAAUUGCCUUUCAAAUUAUAUAUUCUGCUCACAACGCUUUACUAGCAUGUGUUUUUUCACAAAAUUAUUUUUAUAACCUAAAAGUACUUUUAAGUUUUUUAUCAAAGGCUUUAGAAAGUGCUUAUGACCACUGGGGGACCCAUAAAUUUUUCGUCGGAGGUGUAAUUUUAAAAGGUUAAAAAAAAUUUUUAAAAAUUGACAACUAAGUAUUCUUAUAAUUUAAAGAAUACUUUUGUCAUUCAUAAUUCAUAUAAACAAAAUAACAAUACUAUCAACCUACAAUUGUUGCCGUCAGUUGCUGAAGAAGAAAAAAAAACACACCAUGUUUCAUUUUUUUUUCUCUCUACAUUAACUAUGAAUUACAUUCGAACUUACUUUGAAAGCUUGAUCGAUACAAAAUUUUAUUCCAUGGCACAAGACUUGAUUGAUGAAUCGGUUUUUAUAAAAGACUUGGAGUUCUCAAAUUUAAGGAAAAACUGCGAUGAGGAUGUAAAAUGAGUUUAUAAAUUUUCUAAUCUUUUAUAAGGAAUUGGUGGUGGGACGUAAGAGACUCUUUUUUCUCCUUGUUUGAACAAAAAACAAGCAAAAUAUCCCUUGCUGAAGGAACUCCUUUUCCGUUUGCAGUACGAUUUAAUUAAUUUUUUUUCCUGGUCCAAAAUGAUGUCGUUUUGGCUAGGGAAUUAAAAAAAAUCGUGUUGUGCACGAACAACGCAACAAAGGAGGGUUCAAAGAGAACUUCUGUUGAAUAGGUGGUGUGUGCAGCUACCUGAGCAAAAGGGCAAUAUUUCGGCACAUGCAACGCUUGCUCCAGCGAAGGGAGGUGCAGUUGCUCCUCCUUACGCCUCUGUAGGUCCGCCUUUGCUUAUGACGCGCUUUGAGUUAUCAGUAUGAAUCAAACUCGUAUUUUAACAACAUGCAAGUGGAAUUCACAUGUCAAAAAAUGGAGAAAUUCUAAGGUAUGACCCUCAUAUUGACAUAUGAUAUUACCAAUAUGUGUUUUACAAUAUGGGUAAACAACAUGGUGUUUAUUUAUUUAUUUUUACAACAUGGUUUUUUACAAUAUAGGUAGACAACAUGGUUGAUAUGUCAAGAAUGUAGAUUGUUGUAUUGAUAUAUAGAUACACAACUUAUACUAUGAGUGGUUUGAUAAAACCAUGUGGCCAUGUAAAUGUUACACCAAAUGAUUAUUCAAGAAGUGUGCGAGAAAUGAAAAAAAAAAAAAAAUAAGAAGGAGAAGGCAUGUGGAGAAAACAUCGGGUGCAUAUGAUAACUGAAAUGUGUACUCUGAUCCCUACGUUACAUCCUUCGAUUUCAUUUUCUAACCGACUAGCCUCUCCGCACCCGCGCCUGCAAGAGGUUUUUUUUUUUAAAAAAAAAAAAAUUUAAAAUUAUUUUAGAAUUAAAAAGGAUAAUGGGUAGUUGUGUUCCAUAAAAAUAGGAUCCUUUAUCUAAUUUUUCUUUUAAUUUAAAAUUUUUUAAAUAUGAAAAAGUGUGAAUUUACCAUAUUAUCCUUAUUUAAUUAAUAAUUUUAAUUUUUAAUGUUUGCAUUAACCAAUGAUAUUUUCUGGCAUUUUGAAUGUUUUACCAUUCUCUGCCUUUUGCUUUAUAUAUAUAGAUAGAUGAACUCCCACCCACCUUGCUCGCUUACUUGGAACUAGGUUUGACUUUCCCCAGCAUCAAAGGGUACACUUCUUAGAAAUUUUAUGCAAAAUUAAAGAUUUCACUUGUAAAUUGCAUGAUAUACAAACUUUUUAAUACCUAAUUCACAACAAAUUACACAAACACAAUAUGCUUGUGAAUACAAAACAAUUUACACAACUCACUUAAUGAAAUUUUCCGCGCCUAUAAUGCAUUUAACACAUAAAACCAACAUAUCAACUUCUAAAACAAAAACAUUAAUCUACUUAACAAAAAAACUAUAUCAUCAAUGGGGUCUACACUAGUGAAAAAGGGUCUUGACUUAUAGAUUAGUGGUCUCAUGUCCGAAUUAAAUUGAAAAUGGUCUUAACUUAUAAAUAAGUGGUCUCAUAUCCGAAUUAAAAUGAAGUAAGAACAACAAACCAUUCUUGGGCUCAUAACUAAGUUACUCUUUUGCUAACAGUUUCGUUUAGGCUUGUCCCUUAGCCUAACCUGGUAGAGAGCCAGAUAUAAUUACUUACUUAAAUGCCUUAUGUUUCCUAAGAGAUGUGGUGUUAUAAUGUUCUAUGGUUGAACAAUAUAAUGCUAUGUUUCUUAGGAAGUACGACUCCUAAUUGGGGCGUGACAAUCCCCCUAGGUUUUAAAUUAUUUUCACAAAAUUUAUUUUUGUUGAUUGUUUGUCCAAAAAUUGAUGAUUUCAUAUAAAAAAACAGUUUACGAAAAUGACCAAAUUAAUUAAAAUAAUCAAUCUUUGAAUGAAAAAUCAACAAAAUUUUCUUUUAUGAAAAUAAUUUAAAACCUCAAGAAAUAGUAGUGCAAAUAACUCUAUUACUUACCCAGUUAACCGGUCAUCACCUAACAGUCGUUAGAUGCUUUCAAAACCAAUUCAACAGUGAAUACUACCUAGGUAGUAGGUACUUAGUAUCUGUACAUAGGAAUACCAAAGAAAAAUAGAAAAUGAUAGGGUAUAGGGAUGGCUGCAGGAUUUGCAUCACUGUAGGGACCAGAGGGGUCCCAGUCCCUUCUCAGCUCUUCACUCACUCUCCCCUUUCUUUCUUUUUUUCUUUUUUUAAAAAUUUCCCGUUAUUUCUCUCUCUAUUUUUUCUCUCUCUUGGUGUAAAUAAUUUAAUGUUGUAUUUAUGAAUUGAAUAUUGAAAGAGGAUAAAGGUUUUUAUAUAUACAAUAAGAACUUUGAUGCGUAUGAUCUUGACUUUUGCUUUAGGGGAUAUUGGUUCAGAAAAAUGAUGCGUAAGAAGCUCUACGAGAACUUUACAGUGUUUAUACUUUCAUUCCCUUCAUUUUUAUACAAGAAGCUCUAACAUUAAUUCUUGGCUCCGCAACUGAAACCAUACAUGAUUAAUGAUGGCCCAGCUGAAGCCAAAGUGAAUUGAAGAAGAUGAGGAACACCCAAAGGAAACGUGGAUAUCGAAUAUUGUAAGACACAGAGAGAAGAGGCGAAGAAAACCAAAGGUUAAAGACGCCAUCUUUUAUUUUUGCAUAAAUUAAAUUUGGCGGGGUGUUCUUCGUUUCUUAUAUCUUUAUUUUUGAAAUGUUUUUGUCUCGUUAUUCCAGAAUAAAACACCACGUCACAACCCACAAGUCCAACAAAAUCUCUGAUGGGAUAUUCAGUAUCCACUACGUCGUCGUUUUCCCACUUCUUCUCCGUCCCACCUCCUCCUCGCACCUACACGAUCAAAAAUGACGCGACGAUCCCCUUCCUUUCUCUCUCCUCAAUGCCGCUCCCUCGACUCUCUCUCCGCCGCCGCGUCCCCCAGGACGCACCGUUUCACCUCGCGUCCGAAACCACCCGCAGAGCUUCAUCAACAACUCGCAAUGUCAAAGCCGAAGCUUCACUCCCAGACCCACCCUCCUCUUCCUCCAAUACAAAACGCGUCGUUUUGGUCUCCGCUUUGACCAUUGCUCUGGCUGUCGCCAACCGCGUGCUCUACAAGCUCGCCCUUGUCCCCAUGAAAAACCACCCUUUCUUCUUGGCCCAAUUCACAACCUUCGGGUUUGAAAAAGAACCACACAUUAAUUAUUUAUUUAUUUUCCUUUAUUUAUUUAUUUAUUUUUGGUUUGGAAUUAUUGGAUUUGUAAUGUGAUCGGGAAAGUGGGUUUGUUUUGUGCGCAGCUACGUGAUUAUAUAUUUUUCGAUAUUGUUCGCACGAUACCGUUCUGGGAUUGUGACUGAUGAAAUGAUAAGCCUUCCCAAAUCACGGUUUGUGGCCAUUGGUGCCUUGGAAGCCCUUGGAGUUGCUUCUGGGAUGGCUGCUGCAGGUACCUCACCAUUUAUUUAUUUAUUUUGGAUUUUAUUUUUUGGGUACAUUAUUAUGAGUUGUUAGCCUAUGCAAUUUGAUUGAAUGGUGUUUUAGAAUUUAAGCUAGAUUUUCUUGGCUUUUGAUUGAGAUGAAGCAAUACCAAGUUUGAAUUGGUUGUGAUGAGAAAUCAAAGGAGAAAAUGUGUUUUAGUAGUGAUGAUUUUGGUGUUUUAUUUUUCUGAAUUGUAUUUAUCCUCCACAGCCAUGCUUCCCGGACCGGCAAUACCCAUAUUGAGUCAGGUAUUUUCCGUUAUUCCAGCAAAAAAGUAAAGAACAAGAAAGAAAAGAACAUAUAUAGGUUAUGCCCUAUGUGGUAUAUUGGAGUUCAGGAAUGGAGGGCUUCCCCAUCACCAUCAGCAGCAUUGAGGCAUGCCAUAUGUCAUUAGAAGGAUAAUCUAUUUUGUGAGAAAAUAUAAUGUAUAAUCAAUGAGAGCAGUGUUUAUGACGAAGGUGCUUGAAGGACAGAAACUUUGUGAGGUCAAGAUAAUUUUGUAGUAAAAUAUUGCCUAAAAAAGUUGAAGUAAAGAGAAAGGAAAGCUGCCUUAACCAUUUAGUUUCCAGAAAUGUUUAUGGAAAGAGGAGAAUAAGUCUUAACUUUCUUACAGUGUAAAAUCAUGUUAGAUGUGACCAUGCCAAUUGGAUUCGUCUAGCGGCUGAUUUUUAUUUUUUUAGCUCAAGCGAGGUUGAGUUUGGUCAAGGAUCCUAGAUCCUAUUCCGGUUUGGACUGAACUAAUUUCUUAUAUGAACAAUUAAUGAACUAAAUAUUUUGGGGAAAGAAGUUCUGUUUUCCUUUUCCUUUAAAUUGAAUAAUUAGAACUUAGCAGGGCUGCAGAAUAUUGUCCCCCAGCCCUGAAUAGUUGGACAACGGGUUUCCCUGGUUAUAAUCUAGUGUAAUAGAGAUAUGAAGAGAAAAAUGGAAUUCAAAGAGUAUAUAAUGAAACGUUUACCUUAGUCUAGAUCCAAAAGAAUAAUGUGCUUAUUACUUUGAAUAUUUUUUUACCAUUAUUUUUGCAAAAUCCCUCUCCUCAGUUUUACUUUUUACUUUUAUGUCUCCAUAUUGUGCAGACGUUUUUGGUGUGGCAGCUGAGUUUUUCUGUCCUCCUUUUGGGGAGAACAUACACAUUCAAUCAGAUCUCCGGCUGCAUACUCGUAGCUAUAGGUGUAGCAGCGGCUGUUACAAGGUACCUUGAUCCAUUCUUCUGCGGAUUAAGAGCUGCUACUCUAUUUCGUUAAAUGUAAUAUUAUAUGGUUCCUCUGUCAAUUAAGUGGAAGGAUUAGUGAUACAGAUCUUUGAAGGUCAAUACUAGGCUAGCAGUCACUUGGAUAUGGUUUACUUUAAAUUUAUGCAAUACCUGCAAACGAUGAAUGAUCUGCAUGCUUAUGCAUCUGGUACCAGCUGAUAUCAAAGCAAACAUCAGAAAAAUUGAAUGUGGUUAACCAUGACAUACUAAUUACAUUUAUACGCUUGAAAAGAAGAAUUUCGAAGAAAGAUGUCUUGUAAGAUGUUUGAACAGUUUGACAUCCGUUCUGUAUUUUUUGUCCCAGUGCCAAAUGCAAUUUUGGAAAUAAAGUGCCUGAAUGUUUUGUUGAAAAAAAGAAGACAAUUAACUGAUGUUUUAUCUGCUGAUGAUUAGAUUAGCAUCUGUUUUGAAAGUCUGCCUGCAGAUUUUACUUCUAAUAGGCAUGCCUAUUCUACAAUUUCCUGGAGAGUUUGUUUAGAUCUACCACCAUUUUUCUUUUGGGCAUUCUUUCAUCGUUAUCAUAGUUCCUGAGAUUCCAACAAGCUUCUGUAUCAUUUUAUGUUAGAAUAGCUACAAGUAUCCCGUCUUCCCGUGAAGGUAGAUUUUGAUCAUAAAUGAAAGGUUUUCAGAAUUGGAACUGAAAUAGUUCUACCGGUGCAUGAAUAUCAUGACCCUCCUUUAGUCUAAUGAUUCUCUGUUUUCAGGGUUUUCUUGAUGUGCUGUUCUUUCUUAUUAGUGUGUUGAGUACCUUGUAGUCAUGGAGUUUUCAAUGAUAUACGCAAUGACGUAAGCUAUUGAUAGUCAUAUGUGUAUUAUGUAAUUGCAGUGGGUCUGAUUCGGGUCAGAUGCUAUCUGGAGUUGAGUCUAUGUGGCCAGUACUAAUGAUUGCUUCAAGUGCUUUUCAAGCUGGUGCAUCUAUAAUCAAGGUUAAACAAUGAACAUUUGUUAUAAGUUCAGUAGUGCCCUUUAUAACCAAAAUAAUCAAUCUUGAUGUUGUCUUCGAACAGGAGUUCGUCUUCGUUGAUGCUGAGGCCCGCCUUAAGGUUGGCAAUAUCUUUUUCUUUUAAGUAAUUAGCUGGCCUUCCAAAUUGUUCUCAAAUUUGUUCUCCGGUUGACAAGCUAAUGCUGCACACUUUCUCAAGUCAUAAACCUUUUCAAUUGCAGGAAAAAUCACUUGACAUAUUUGUUGUCAAUUCUUUUGGAUCUGGAUUUCAGGUGAUUACUGUGUUGAUCUCUGUUAAGAUAGUUUAUGAUAUAUUGUUUUCUUGUUUGUAAGUAGGUGGCCUCAUUGGUUAUAAAGGAGACCCUACCAGAACUACAAAGAUUUUUGGCAUUAUCUGAUUUAGAUUGAUAGGUGUGUUGAGGGUCUCUUUAAUUAGAACAUGACCAUUGAUAGGGGAUUCUUUUUCCCUUAAAUUAUUUAUGCUCACUCAAAUGUAUGGGGGUUCACCGGUAGCAUACAUGUCCGCACCCAAAGUCAGGUUAAUCAGGUUAACUGAAAUGUCUUGUACAUAUUAAGUUGGAUAUAAUUGAAAAAAGACACUGGUUUUGCUAAAAUUAUUAUUCUUUAUUUCCUUUGACUUGUAGGCUCUUUUUAUACUUCUCUUUCUACCAUUCUUGUCAAACCUGAGAGGCAUACCAUUUGCGCAACUUCCUUCAUAUCUUAAAGAUGGCGCUGGUUGCUUUCUGAAUAUUGGAGCCGAUACAUCAGGCAAGCUGUCAUAUCAUUUUUUUGUUUCUGUAGUUUUGUAAAUUAACUGGAUUUGGGAGUGAUGCAGGAUGCGUAGGACCUAAAUUUAUUAGUUUCCUAAUGUAUUUGUUAGUUUCCUAGAUACUCUAGUUUUCCAAAUUCUAGUAGGAUUUCUACUUUUCCAGAUUUCCAGAUUUCUAGUUUUAAGUUUCCUAUUUUAUUUGGGUUAUGAUUUCUGUUUAAGCCAGGGAUUUUUAUCCUAUUAUGUCUAGGUUUUAGUUUGCUAUAAAUACCCCGAUGUAGUUCUUUAAAAGGCAGAUUUGGAUAUUGAGUAAAACUUGUCUUAAAACUAUGUGAUUUCUGUCCUUCCUUCUCGGUUCUCUGAUUUCGGUCCUUUCUUUUGUCCCUUUGAUCUAUAUUUUUGUCUCCUCGACCUCGGAUAUUCUUCUUGUUCUACUCUUCUGCCCGUUCUUUCGUCUUUUCGAUCUAUAUUUUCAUCUCCUCGAUCUCUUAUAUUCUUCUAUGUUCUAUUGUUUGAGUGCUUAAUCUAAUACCUACGGGCUGUCUACAUCAGGGAGUUUGGUGUGACAUACAUGUUGUCAUUGUCUAUACACUGAUUUACAUGGUCAAUGAUGAUUGGUUUAAUUAUCUACUCUCCAGCCCAUAAGUAAGCUUAAAUAAUAAUUGUUCACAAUCUGAAAACAUUGAUAUUAAUUGUUUGAUACACAUUUUAAGCAUAUGGAGUUCUCUUAUCUGUUCUUCCUUUUAAAUGAUUCAAUGCAAUGAAAAACUAUUAUUGUAUUGCGAGCAGGAAAUAUCGAAUAGUAAGAGUAAUCUGACUUGUUGGCUUGAUAUGCAAAGCUUAUAGUAACAUCACAAGAAUGCUAAAAGCUGAUAUGACACCAAGUUACAUCUGAACAGUGUGUAUCAUAAAUUUAUGAGAACACGUGAAAGUGAACGUUUGGUUUUGAUGAUAAAAUUUACCUGCACGGUUUCAUGACGUUUAGGAAUAAAUGAUGGGAAAUCCUACGAAUUUCAUGCAUUGAAGAGACAAAAAGCUCAUUUAUAAUCUGGCACGAUGAAAAUAAAUUAUUGGUUUCCGUAAUGUAGUUCAAUUUCAGUUGUUCAAAGCGAUGGUUCUUGUCAAGAUUAAAAGCUUCUUGAGGUUUUUUGAGUUUGAAGUUCUUACCCAUGCAUUUGUCACUUGUUUCAGGUUGUAAUGGGGCUCCAUUGCUUCCGUUGCUUUACAUAGGUACCAAUCUGUUUUUCAACAUAUCAUUGCUGAGUGUAGUAAAGAUUUCCUCUGCGGUUGUUGCUUCUCUCAUUGUGAUGUUGUCAGGUUCAUUCUCUUUCACGCUUGUAUACAUACUUUUGAGCACUGGUCCCAUAGUGGUUAUGCUAAAUACUUAGUAUUGUUGCCAUAUAGUCUAGAUAUACCUAAUGGACCUUUCUACCUGACAGUUAAUUUUGAUGGGUUAGAUAUUUCAAGAUCAUAUUAUUAUGACUACAUGUCAGUCACCAACCCUAAUAGGGACUACACAUAAGAACCAUCAGUUACCUGAUGAAGGGUACUUUUCCACCUGGAUGACCACCCAAAAAAAGGGUUGGACAUGAGGUUUGUUGAAGUUUGCCACGUGUGUGUAUAUAUAGUUCCCUUUUAUUGAGGGAUCCCUCAAAUCCAAUUAUCUACUCUGACAGUUUUUGGCUUUUGGAUUGGGAUACUUUAAACAUAGAGGACUUAUUCACAUAAGCACUUGUGUUUGUUCUAGUUGUGGACAUAUACAAGCAUGGCAUCAAAUCUGUGCUUUUGAAUAAACUUGUGCUAAUAUAAGCUUUCAUUUAUCUUGCAGUGCCGAUAUCGAUUUAUAUUCUUUCCCUUCCAUUGCCAUAUCUGGAAGCGGGUGCAACUUUGAGCCCCUUUUUCCUCUUUGGUAGCACAGUUCUUUUGUUGGGUCUUAUUCUGUACAGCAUGCCUCAGCCUGCCAAGGAUGGCUCUGAAAUUAGUUGACAUUACAUACUACACUGUUAUAGAUGUUAUAUUCUUAUUGUCUCUUUAAGACCUGGAACACAACUCAUGUUUUCCAUCCCCGACUGUUUAAAUUCAAUUCUAUCAAUUCAAACAAAAAAGAAAAAACUUUAACCGGAACGCGCUAUGGCUGUCUUUUCAACCAAGCAAGGCCAACUUCAAGGGAUGCUGGAGCAAUCUUCCGACCCCGAUUCCCCUGGCACAGUAAAGUUGAACUGGAAUGCAAGCUCAAAUUCAGGUCAAACUUCUCAGAUUAAGCUUGGAUUGACCCUUAAUCCACCAACUAUGGGAUUUGAAUGGUACUUUAUAAACUGGUAAUUGCAUAUAAAAGAUUGACGCAAGAUAAGUAAAUCACUGUUGGGUGUCCUUUGAUUUUAGGGUUAGGUUAGAUAGCACAUCAUGUAUACGUAAACCUAUUAAUCUCAUUCAGAUUUCUGCAAAAGCAGAAACAUACAUGUCUAGAAGAAAAAAAAAACCAUUAAAACAAAUAAUUCUGGUCGGUCCAAAUAACAAAAUUUCCCCCCUACUUGCUCACUCCUUUCUCUACCCACACCCCACCCACCACACCCCCCUUCUUCUAAUCAGAAGAAACUGCCGCUCAAAAGAAAAAGACAAAAACACUUUAGAUUUGAAGGAAGCCAUUUCAUGCGACUAUAGCAAUAGGAAUUUAGAUCAGCAAGGAAAUCGUUGGAGUUGUCAGGCUGGUUUAUCCUUCAACGCCUCAUCUGCACAAUGGACCAAAAUUGUCAAUGCCUUCACUAUAAGCAAAUACUAGGGCAUGCGUACAAAUCCCUAACAACCACGCAAGAUUAAAGUUCAAGUGAAACAGAACUUCAUGGAUGCAGUUGAUUCGGAGCGAAAGAGGAGAGCAUAUAUUUCAUAAAUUAAAUUUGAUCUUUAUUCUGAGACCAACAUGAUAUACCUUGCGCUUCUUAUGUCUUCCCCCCAUUCCACCCCUAGCACUACUGAAGCUUGGAAUCCGCCCAUCAUUUUCAUCUUCCAAAGGUAAAGUUCUGACUUCAUCAUAGAAAUUGUCCGUCAAACCAAGCAACCUGAUAUAUACAAGUUCAGAACAGUCAGCCAACAACAAAUUCUACCCAAAUAAAUUUGACAUAAUUGAGAAUAAUACCAUAAAUUAAUUUUUAAGUGUGCAUACCCAUUUCUUGACUUCUUUAAGUGUUUCUCCCUCUGUUUCUCCUUCUUUGUAAUAGGAGCACGCAUAAAAAGCUCCUCUUCUUGCCGUGCACGGUCCUCCAUCUUUGCCCUGUAUCUGGCUAGUUCUAAACUUUCAGCUCCAACACUUUCUACAAUCUGUAAUUUGACAUAAUAGUAAGCAAUUAUGAGAAAAUCCAGCAUUCACGCCUUGUAACCCCACAAAAACAGUCCACAACAAACCUCUUCAGGCCUCCCCUCCAAAUCAUCCACCAGUUCCCUAACAAAAGCACUAUGCCUAGCUUGUCGUAGAGUAUUCUUUUCCUUUCUCAAUGCAUUUUUGUCCUGCUUUGACAACUUAUCUUCCUCCAUCGAAGUGGGGGCAAAUUUGGGAGGUCGAUACACAUCAUUACCAUCCUACAAUACAUAAAGAGAAGAAAAAACCUUUUAAAUGGUCCAGCAGGUGGGAAAGAGGAAUUCAAAUACUGUACUGAUGUGCAUUUCACCUUAGAAGUCACAUCUGCUUUGCUAACAAGCAUGUCAGGGUUCGGGUGAUAUUUCAACAAAUCGUCUGUUUGCUGAGGCACACCCGCUUGUGAUUCCUUUCCACCUGGCUGUACAUUCUCAGUUGUGCUUGCAGUAACCUUGGUGAGCUUCUCGAUUUGGUACUGUAGCUUCUUGUCAAUGGGUCGAAUCUUUUACAACCAAAAGGGUGAGAACUGAUUAGUGACUGAUUACGCAGGUUACCAGAAUGGCAGGAGAAAGAAAAACAGAUACCAAGACGCCAUACCUUUUCCAGAAACAACCUUAUCUCCACGAGGCUCUGAACAACGGGAUGGCCAUUUAUUGAGAACCCUCUAGCCUUGCGAAGCAAGUAAUAGACAAGUGACUGGCAAUAGUUUAAGAGCAGCAAAUGCUUGGCUUCAAGAUAGCUUAUCCCUUCCACUGUUGGAUAAUUAUUUGAUUUCACCUGAUACACGGAGAAGAAAAAUAAAAAUGACACAUGUGCCUCAGCAUGCUUGGUAUACUAACAUGUCCGUUGGGAUUUCUAUAAUCUCCAAUUGUUACGGAAAUAUUGAUUCUGCAAAAAGUGAGAAACUUAUAAGAAAAACACGUUUUCUGGUGGAAAUGCUUUUUCCAGCCCUUGCGUUAAGUUUAGGCCUCAAUGAAAGCACUACCAAUCUAGAUAUGGUUUUCCUAAAACCUAACAAGUGGCACAAAUUUUUAGAAAGCAAACAUUUCUGCACCGCAAGAAAUGGAGCCACAGCGAAAUUACAAUGACCCAAGAAACAGGGACAUAUUUACCUUUGCAGUUAAAGCUUGGACUUUGAUCCUCACUGUAUCUAAUCCUUCCUUCAUUUCCUUCAGCACAGCAGCAAGCUGAGGAGCUUCUCUGAAAAACAGAAGCAAUAGAAGUAAAAAUCAGAAUUUGACUAUCAAAUCCAAUUAGCAUUUAGCAUCAUUGCACCUUCACAAGUUUAACUUACGCCUUUACUCUAUCUUCAGAGCUUGCGUUUGAAAUUGUAGCGUCCUCCAUGCCUUUGAAGCUUUACUUUUCUAUGCAAUCCGUAAAAAUAUUAAUCAGAAGCCUUUUAAGAAUAGAAAAAUAUGAGCACAAUACUCAUGGAUGUGGGCUCUUUCAAGAAUUCCUUGCCAAAGAAACAUAACUGGUAACUAUGAUAAAUAAAUUACGGUUCCAUAAAUCAAACAAAACCUUCAGAAUUCCCAGAUAAUUAUUUUUGUUAUAAUUUUUUGCGGAUAAAAAUACAAAUUUAACGAGACAUAAUAAUAUCCAAAAUUGAUAAACAAAAAAAAGAACGGAGCAACUAAAUCAGGGAUUGAAAUGCUCAUUUGGGUAGCCAUAAAUUCCCACUUUACCAUACAGACAGCUCAAAGGAGCUCAGCAAGCACAUGCCUUUUGCCCAAUCUUAGCGGGGGAAAACAUCAACAAAACAUAGGGCUUGAUGAGAGAGAGAGAGAGAGAGAGAGAGAGAGAGAGAGAGAGAGAGAGUAAAUCAGCAGAGGAAGAAGAAGAUGAGAGAGACCUGAGAGAGAGAGAGAGAUAGCGGCUGUGGCCUGGACUGUUAGUGGGAGGAAGACAGGCUGCGCUGCGAGAGAGACCGUGACGAAGAGAAGCAGCGAGGAGGAAGAAGGUGUUGUGCUUGAGGUUUUAGUUUGGCCCUUUUUUUACAAGAAAAGAAAAGAAAAGAAAGAAGGGGUUUAGGACCUACGCAUCAAAAUUUAAGCCCUAGCACUAAACCUCCCGCUUUUUAUUUUAUUUUAUUUUAUUUAUUUGGAAAAUUAGUACAAAUAGAGUUAUUUACAUUAACAUUUCAUGAUAUUUUCGGUAUUUUCAUAAAAAAUUUUAGGUUUCAAAAAUUAAUAAUUUUAUAUAAUAUAAAUUUAACCUUAAUGAAUAUAUGUGCAAUAUAAUAUCAGAGACUAACUUUGUCAUUUGCAUAAUUUUUUUAUAUAUAAAAUCAUUAAUAUUUGGACUAAAAAUCAAUGAAAAUGGGUUUUAUGAAAAUUUAAAAUUUCAGGAGGUGUUCGUAUAAUUUUCGAAACUUCAGGAGUUUUGUGAAAAUACUGUUUGGGCCCAAAUUCAGCACGCCCAAGACCAAAAGACAGGCCCCUGAUAAAAUUGCCAGCCCAGCCCAGAGACUUGAGAAAAACAAAAAUAAAAUCCAGACAGUUUGGGCUUCACACCAAGAAUGUUGGAAAUAAAGCCUCAGCCCAAAGAAAGCCCAAAUGUGGAAACUCUCGAAAUAGGCUUCAAAGAUCAGCCCGUAAUUUUUGUUAGGUUCAAACCCAAAGGAUCAAAGACACACCCACGUGAUUGCCUCAACUUUGGAAAAGUCAGCAAUUCCAACUAAAGUUUAAAAAUGUGAGAGGGACGUCUCUGAAACACUGCCAAUUGAAGAUCAAAAACUCAUCUGUGUUCGAGAUUUUGCUACAAAUCAAUACACCAUCUCCCAAGGAAUUCACGGAUCACGCCUUCUAAGUUAGAACGGGAAACAGGGAACCACUCAGAAAAUACAAAAGAAAAAGAGCCAAACCGCCAUAAAAAGCCCACACAGACGGUGACGUUGGUUGAAUUAGAAAGCUGCCACCCAGGAAACCAGGGAAGGGACUGUUUUUAGGAGGUGACUGCUCAGAACCUAUCUGCCUUGAUUGAUAAGAAACCCUUCUUACUUUACAUUAUAAGAGAUCUUUUUGCCGCCCAUUAUUUAGAAUUAAGAAUUACCUCCUUAAGAGGGUCUCUUAUAAGAACGAAAGUAGGCAAAGAAAGAAAGGACACUCAAUUCAUCAAUCAAUCAAAAAAAACAAACAAGAAAAAGCUCACUUGGAUCCCAAGAGAAAAACAGCUUUAGAUCAGAAUUCUAAAGUUCAGACUUAGAAAAUAAGUCUUCUGAAAACGAGAUCCCUCUCGUUACAAAUUUGGUUCAGCAAAAGCCAAGACAAACAUAGUUUGAGUUUUCACAAAUAUGAAAACCUCAACAAAUUUUACAGCAUAGUUCCAGCUUGCUAAAUCCUCAAGAAUAGCCACUUCUGUCCCUUCAAACUGAAGAAGCUGCAGUUCUGCCCGCUCAAAAGUCUCCCAAGGCUUGAAGUAGAUUGAAGCUCUGCCAAAAUUGAACUUUGGUAUCGAUUUACGGCUGAAGCCAAGCAGCCAAAGUUGUUGACAGCACAGUCCAGCACAGACAUACCCAGUCCAGCCCGGAUCAGAAGUUUCUGCCCAGGCAGAAAUGGAAUUCCAGCCAUCUUUUUGUCUUUCUAGAGUUGAUUUCUCCCUUCUUAAUUUUGUAAAAGGCAGUUCUGCCUGAAACAGUCUAUUUUAUUAUUAUCUAUUAUGGCCAGAACAACCAUUUGAUAAUGAGAUAAAUUAUGAAAGUCCUCACCAGUCUGAGGCAAGAAAAGAACUUACUUGGGAGAUAUUCCUCACCCAAAUUCACAAUCAUUUGUUUUAGAAGUCAGUAACUUGAGGCGCAAGUUAUCCAUUCUAAAAAUAAGUCUGCUAGAAUUUACAUUGCUAGCAGUGGCACGCUCACACACCAAAGAAAGCUGACUUGUCGACCAACAAGUGGUCUCCAAGCCAGUGGGAAACUUCGCCCUUCCACCUCAGGAGUAAACACGAAAACGGGUGAACAAAUACCAAAAACCUUAAGAAGUGUUAAUGUAAAUAAUUCAUACAAAUACUAAUUGGGAUUAAUAAGGGUAUAUAUAUGACUUUUUUUUAUUUAUUUUUUAUGCAAGGAGUAUAUAUAUGAUAUGUUAAUUGAAUUGGUCCAAAUUUUUGGGGUGCUUUCAAGUGGUCAUGAAAUUUUGUGUGUCUCUGUCACUUUUUUCCAAUUUCGUUAAAUAUCUAUAGGAAAUCAAAAAAGUUUUUAGACACCCAACUUCAUAAAAAUUUGUACAUAAAGCUCCAAUUUUAUCCCUUUAAUUAAAAAGCAAAAAUGAAAAUAAAGACACGUCCAAAGGUUGUUUAGCUAGCCACUCUUUCCUCAAAAUUUUGUGUUGCCCUACUAAAUUGAUAAGAAAAAGUAAAAAAUAAAAGAAAAAAGAAAAAAGAAAAAUAGCAACCCACCACCACGACACAAACAUCCCCAUCCCCAUCCCCAUCUGGAACUCUAUGCUUAAGUAUUUCAGAACUUGGUAUUUAGGGGAGUCGCGAACCCUAACCUGAAACUAGAAAUUACAGCACCAAAAAACUUGAAACUUGAAGUCUUGGUUUGUAUAUCAAAGGGUUUGUGUA